AAGCCGCAUGGCCUACCUGUGUGGUCAAAUCUUUUGAUAUAACAAUCUACUCAACGUUUUCAAUGUAAAUAGCAUUAAUCUUUAGUACAUUAAUUCAAAUAAAAUUGUGGCUCAAGGGAACAGUUAAUGAUCCACAUGGCAUCAAAGUAUCUUACUAAAUUGUAUAUUACACGUGUGUAUUGCAUUAUGUGUGUGCGAAUACCUUUUUUCACUGUCAGUCUAUAUUAGUUUUGAAUUCUGAGUUGAUUGAACAAACAUGUUUCUUUUUAUUGCAGAUUAAUUUGGUUCUCGCUAAAUGAAUCAAAGAUCACAAGACUAGAACUAGUGGUUUCCAAAAAAGGUUGGUUCUUGAAUAGUUUCAUUUAUGCUUUUUCAGUUCUUUGAAUGGACUUCCUAUAAUCCAAAAUGAGCUAUUGAACAACUCUUUCGCUACAUUGUGUUUGCAAAUCAAUAUUUAGGCUAAUAAUUGAAGGCUGAUUCUUUUUUGUUGAAAAAUGUAAUCUAGAUUCUUAAAACUGUGGCGAUUAAUGUGGUUUUUAGGUGAAUUUUUCAAGUGGGGGAGAAGGGGUGGGUGGUCGCUUUAAAUUGUUAUUCUCAAUUGGUAAAUAAAUAUUUAAAUGUGCAAAACAUGGAUAUCAUGGAAGAAUUCAAAUGUUUUUCUUGCAUUAGGUUGGAGAGCAUGAUCACUUUCUGUUUGCACAUCACAAAGUUUGUUUUGAGUACUUCUCACACCAUUGAGGCACAAAUGUUCUUCAUGCAUUAGUUAAUUUUCUUUAUAUCAAAAUUUAAUAAUUUCAAUUUUCCUUUGUAUCCAAAUGUAUUAAAGUAAUUGUGAUUGAAGUUUGUUUAUGUCUACUUUCCAAGAUUUAUUUUUUGUUUACAUGUCUCACUCCGCUUAUGAAUGCUUUUUGGUUAACUGAAAGAAUGCUUUUCAUUCUCGGUUUUCAAGACUCUAUCUACCGUUUACAAGUCAACCCCACAAUACCAAAGUACAAGAGAAGCAAAGAUUUGAGGUGAUUUUUUCUCUAACUUAUUUAGAUUUUAUAUUCUGGGUUAAUUAUCAACCGGAUUCUAUUACUAGAUUUAUAAUUGUAAUUUGGUACCAUUGCUGCCUCUUGCCGCUUCAGCUUUCACAUCCUAAUGCCACAACAUGCUAAGUUUAAAUUCUACGUUAUGGGUAAGCAUUAGGCUAUUCAAGCCCUAGUUUAAAUGUAUGAUUGAUUUGCAUGAAAUGAAUGAAAAAGAGAGUUAGAAUACCCUGUGAGAUAAUUCCAGAAACCAUUUUAAAUAAAACGUAUCAAAAGUGUUGAAUGGAGAGUGAAAAGAUUCUUUGCAUGGAAAACAGAUUUAACUUUGUUUUCUUUACUCAAAGUGCUCUUAUUUAAUUUGGUUCUGUUUCCGUUGCGUAGUUGAUGGUUCAUAGCAACUAAGAAUCAUUUCCUAAGAAAUCUAUUGAGCUAAGUUCUUUUUGGUAGGAAAUUAGGGUUGCUGAUGUUAGCAAUGGAUUGAGUCUUUCUAUUUGGUAUGAUUAUAUCUCUGAACAAACAUUAAUAAAUACAACGAUUUCGAUCAAUAAUUUUAUUCGGUCAAGAUUCAAACUCCCAUUGUAGAGCAAACUAUAACUCAAACUCCCAUUGCAGAUCAAACUAUAAGUCAAACCUCCCAUUCUAGAGCAAACUAUGAGUCAAACCUCCAUUUCAGAGCAAAUUGGGAACGAGAAGCAGUAGGGCAUGGCUAUUUCCGGGGCAUCGGUUGUUUUGAGAUUCUGGUGUAAUUAGGUUUGAACAUUUUGCUCCUUUGCUUUUUGAUUUGUAUACAUCUUAAAUUUCUCUCAAUUGCUAAUGGAUUUAUUUUCUUUGAAAAUUUCAGAAAGUCGGGUUGUGGGAGGAACAAGCUAGUUUGUUGUCAUUUUUAUGUAUGUAAUCAUCUGCCCUGGUAGCAUAUUCAAAGCCUAUUUAGUUAUAUGAAUUUUUUUAUUUAUCUUUCUAAAGCUUUUGUGCCUGGAUUUGAACUAUGUGAUUGGUAAUUACUUAGCACGAUAAUUGUCAAGCAUAUGAUCGUUAUUCAUGAGUACAAAACCUUCAUUCACAAAUCACAAGUAUAUGAUGAGUUAUUUAGAAAUUCGGCAUUUUCGUCAUCCAAUUCAAUAGCAUUUGGGAUACUAUACUAGAAUUCUAUUACAGCUCCAGUUAAGAGAUGUGAAGCAUGAAGAAUAUCUCUUUAGGAAGUGUUAGCUAAUCUGGUUAGUUGGUCAACUAAAUUAGCCAUUUUUGUCAUUUAGAUUGGAUAACCUAGGGAGAAUGUUAGAAUGAUUGAUCACAUUCGUUAGCCCUAUGUUUUUUUAUUGCGUAAUGAUGGAAUUGAUGCGUCAUUUAGUCAUAGUAAUUGAUGUAAUAAGUGCGUAUCAACUGCCGCAUUCACUCAUCUAUCCCUCUUUUCAUUCAGGUAAAAUGUAUCUUAUUCAUGCAGUUCAAGGUGAUGCAUUCAAGUCUCGCAGCAACGUGCGGGCACAUUUUCUAGUAUUAUCCAAAUGAAGAAACAUUCUCAGAUAUAUCCCUUAGAUCAAAGGAUAUAUUUUAUGGAAUACAACUCUCAUCACAAUCUUCAAAUCUGUCAUUUUUUUCAUCUGAGUUGCUAUUUGCUUAAUGAUGAGGUCAUAUUAUACUAUAUAUUUUAUUGAUUAUUUUGGUAGAAUUUUGAUACCUUGUUAUGUAUUUUCAAUGUAGGACAUUUGACUUCCUUUGGAGAAAAAAGUGAUCAAACGGAUGAUUUUAGAGUGAUUCAAAUUGGAGGACGUUCAUGUGUUCCUUAACUUGUUUGUAUCAAAGUUUCGUAAUUUUCUACCAAGAUGUUUAUUUAUGGAAAUGAAAUAAAAGAGCAGUGCGCAGUGCUACCAAAUUGGUGUUCUGUGCUUAUUUGGGCUUUUUGCCGCCCAAGAUGAUGCCUUUUCGGUUUAAGGCCUUUUGCAAUUAUGUUGGGGAAAUCUCAAGCUUUAAUUCAAGUUGUUUUGGGCCUGUUUUGGAGCCCUUGAAGUCUAAAAACGUGGCUGAUUUGUGGCUGGACAGAUGUUCCAUAUUUGAUUAGGAUUAUGUUUCCUAGUUUUUAGAAGAUCUUUUCUAGGUAGGAUUUUAUUUUGUAGUAAUAUAAAUAAGGCUUUUAGCCAUUAGGGUUUUUUAGAGAGGGGGAGAAUGUAACAUCCCACAUCGCCCAGGGGAGUGGAUCUUGUAAGCCUUAUAUGUAUAUUCUCAUCUCUACCUAGCGCGAGGCUUUUUGGGAGCUCACUGGCUUCGGGUUCCAUUAGAACUCCGAAGUUAAGCGAGUUCACGCGAGAGCAAUCCCAGGAUGGGUGGCCCACUAGGAAGUUCUCGUGUGAGUUUCCAGAAACAAAACCUUAAAGGCGUGGUGGGGGCCCAAAGCAAACAAUAUUGUGCUACGGUAGAGUCGAGCUUGGGAUGUGGUGGGGGCUCGGGGCGGGAUGUGAUAAUAUGGUAUCAGAGCCAAUCCCUGGUCGGAAGUGUGCCGACGAGGACGUUGGGUCCCUAAGGGGGAUGGAUCGUAAUAUCCCACAUUACCCAAGGGAGUGGAUCCUGUAAGCCAUAUAUGUAUAUUCUCAUCUCUACCUAGCGCGAGACCUUUUGGGAGCUCACUGGCUUUGGGUUCCAUCAGAACUCUGAAGUUAAGUGAGUUUGCACGAGAGCAAUCCCAGGAUGGGUGACCCAUUAGGAAGUUCUUGCGUGAGUUCCUAGAAACAAAACUGUGAAGGCGUGGUGGGGUCCCAAAGUAAAUAAUAUCGUGCUACGGUAGAGUCUAGCCCAGGAUGUGGGGGCUCAGGCCAAGAUGUGACAGAGAACACAUACAAUUUCGGGACCCAUUACUUUGGAGCUUUUGACGAUUCAAGUUUGUUUUCAAGGUGUUUUCUAUCCAUGUUCUUAAUAAUAUUUUGUUUUAUCAUUGUUCAUAACUAGUGUCGUUUGCUAGGGCAAGGCCACUAGCCUUAGCAAGAAUAUGUAAUUUCUUUUCAAUUUACUUAUGAUAUAUGCAUACAACUUUUCAAUUAUUAAUCACCGGUUUAAACUAUCUAAUUGCCUUGAUGAUUGGCCACCAUUAGGAUAUUUAGAAAAGUAAUUUGAUGCAAUUUUGGCAAAGGGUUGUCCCUGAAAUUGACGAUGGCUUCUUGUGAUUAAUAUGUGUAACUUCUUAGGAUGAAUGACACAUUUUAAGGGUUAUAUGGUUUUUCAAAAGGUUUUCACAAAACUUAAUGAGUUUUGCAUGUUCACAUUCGAUUUGGACACAACGAACUAGUUGCAUGUUAGAUAUACGUUCUAUGUUAGAGGUUCCAAGUAAAAUAUACUCUAUGAAAACCUAACCUUCAAAAUUGAUAAGAGCAUAUUUAUGCGACUGAGUUAGCUUGUUCUCAUGCAUUUAUGUUGUUAUUUCUUAGUUAAUUAUGUAUUUUAAGCUAUUUUCGUGUGUUUGUAGGUCCAUAGGUCUUAUAAAGCAAUAAGAUGCAUUUUGGUGCAUUUUGGAGCAGUUUUGGGCUUGGAAUGGAUAGCACAUGCAUGGAGCAAGAUGGAUGGACGAAAUUGAAGGCUAAAGAGGCUAGGAAUGUGUUAAAAAGAAAGAAGAAUUAGUGUAAAAAGGAUAAAGAGCUCAGCCACAAAGGGGUAUCACUCCACCAUUCACCUUUCCAUCAUUGUCGUGCACCACCAUUGCACUCCCUUUGGAUUCCUAUGCCGUGCAUCAUCAUCCAUGUUCCCUCCAUUGACUCAUUUGUUGCAUCAUUCCACUUCCUUUCCUUUGUCUACCAUGUGCACAAUAUCCUUUCACCUCCUUGCACUCAUUGAUCCACCACUUACUCACCUUUCCACCCAUGCCAUGCAUCACCAUUCAUUGUUCCCUCCAUCAUUCCAGAUUUCAUGCAUCAUUGCACUGAAUCAUUGCACUCAAUUGCUACACCAUUCCUUGUUCCCUCCAUCAUUUUAGAUUUCAUGCAUCAUUGCACUCAAUUGCUACACCAAUCCAUGUUCCCCUCCAUUGCCAUGCACUUCCUCUAUAAAAGGAAGUGUGUGUAACAUAAAUUGAGUUCAUACUUUGUUAGAUCAUUCACUCUCAUUUCAACACAACCUUCAUCCAAACACAUCCAUUCAUCUUCACAUCCAUUCCUCCAUACAAACAAACCUUCAAACACUCACCAACACCUUGUGCCGUAGCAAAGGAAGGGAAAGAAAGUGCUUGGACGUGCUUGAUGUCGAACUUGGAUCGUUGGAGCGUUUAGGUGUUUUCUUUCUUUUGUUUCUAAUUUUUAAAUUAAUUUCCUUUCAUUUUGUUGUAAAUAUAAGUGGCUAAACCCCUCUUGGCUAGGGGUGAGUUCAAAGCCAUGAUUAUGUGUGCAAUAUAAUUUGAUAAAUUCCAGUUAUGAACUCUUGAAUCGUGAAUGCAAUUGGCUUAACUAUUUGAUUGAUAACUUAUUUGUAUUUGUUAAUUAAGGAUCAACACUUAAUUGGCAUGCAUAAAUCCGUUGCUAGAAUAUAAGGAAGUUUCACAUAAUCGUUACAAACUUAUAUUCACAUGUAGUGAAGGUCGCUUAUAAACGAUUGCGUUAAGUUCAAUUCCUAGCAUAAGCGACAUGAUGUCAUAGUUGCAAGUGCUUUGUCAAUGCUUAUGAUUUUCAUUAGACGUAAUGAUGUUUGAUUGUAUCUCUAUUAUGAUGUCAUGUGGGGAACUUUUGAAGAAUGUUUUGGGUUGUAGAAUGAUGUCAUCCAAUCCAAUAAAACAAGGAAAAUCUGAAAGUUAACUAGUGAUGUCAUGGUAAAUUUGGAGCAUUGUCGUUCAUAAUUUAAUGAAGUAGUAACUGGAAAUGAAGUUAUUUGCAUACAUGUCAUGUGUGGAGAAAAAGCCUCUAGCUAUCCCAUCCAUCAUUUUAUUUCUCACAUUCGUAUUACAAUAUGUCUAGUUUUUCAUACUUGUUUGUUUGUUACAACUUCAUCCAAAUCAAAACUCCCCUUUUAGUUUCUUGUUUCAAAGUGUUUCAAAUCUGUUUUAGUUUAUGUUUUUAAAUGUUUUGAUUCAAGUAAAAGUCAAUUUUCGUCCAAAGUCAUUCCUAGUGUCUAGUUUAAGUUUAUUUAGUUGUUUUAAGCUGUUUUGAGUAUUUUAAGUUUGCUUUGAGUCUUGUGAGUCUUGUUAAGCGUUUAUAAGUUUAGUUUUAUGUUUUUGAGUCAGUUUAGAGGUUAUUAGCAAGCCCUCCUAAUCCCUGGUACAGAACGAUCCCUACUUAUACUUGUACUACAAUUGUCAAAAGAGGGUUAAAUUUGUGUGUUAAGAUAAUUUUCGCAUAAAAAAUAUACAUGGGUAAUUCAUAAGUACGUAGGAUUGUUAAGGUGAUGGCAGAUCUCUAAUGCUCAAAUUUAUUUUCAAAACUAUUUUAUUUUGUUUUCUUUACUUUGCCAAUUUAUUUAAUUAUUUUUAAUUAAAUUCGUUUUUAAUAUUUUAGGUCACAAAAUCAACAUUUUCCAAACUUUGUUUUCAAAUAAUUAAUUAAGUUUUGGUUUUAACAUAAAUUAUUCAUUCAAUCCCUGUGGAGAACGACCUUACUUGAGAUGCUAUACUACGAUAACCUUGUACUCUUGCAAGUAUUUUUAAGUGUUUUUAUCCCUACUUUUACAGGUGGUAAAAAUCCCUAUCACUUAAUAUGGUGCAAAUGUGUCAAAGAUUUCAGUCAUCUCAUAAGUCUAGGAUAGGACAAUUGAACAAAAACGCAAAAUAAGAAAGAAUGGAAAAAGCACUAUAAUUUUCAAUUCAAAAUUCAGUCAAUUGACGCAAUUUCUGUUAAGCAGCCUGGGUCGUUCAUAUCCAGCAACCUGCUAUAUAUUCAUAUAGAUGCACUUUUUAAGAAGGAUCAUAGAAAUCUCAAAAAAUGUAUGUAACCUCAAAUAUCAAUACGGUCCAAUGAUAUGAACCGUCCAUUUGUUAAAUGCCUAUUCAAAGAUCCAAUAAUACAAAGUCAUUUAAUUAUCAACAAAUAGAGAGAAGAACACAAUCUUUCCAAAUAUUUAUGUUGACAAUAAGAUGAUCAAACAAUCUCCAAUUUGCCAACUUUUUACAAGGAUGGUUCUUAAAUGAAGAUAUAAACAUUAGACAGUUUGGAACAUUGGAAUUCAAGUGGCUCUAACAAUGCGACCCACACAAAUGUUGCGAGCUUAGGUCACAUAUUCAGACAAAACUCAACCUUAUGAACGAAUCUUAAGUUACCAGACUGUCAGCAGUCUGCCAAGAGAACCGAUCCAUCUAAGUUUGUCUUUUAAAGUAUUACAAAUACUAGGUAUAACCAGGGUUGGCCCUGAGAAUUUGGGGGCCCUAGGCGAGCCUUUGAAGUGGGGCUCUAAAGUUCUCUAAUCUCCGGAUCUUUGUAUAUUGAUUUGUAUAAAAAAAAAAUAUUCUAUUUUCACACAUCAAAUAUCAUUAAAAAUUAAUAUCAAGAAAAGAUAAAUAUACAAACAUUACUUAAACAUUACAUGGCUCACGUUUUUAGACACAAUUGUACUAAAUGUUUGCAGUCAAGAGUCUACGAUUGAGAGUGAAGAACAAUAAAACUUGAUAAUCAAGAGAGUCAAGAACAAUAAAACUUGAUUGACGAGUAUAAUAAAUUCAACAAUGCCAAUUGUUUCUCUUGUGUGUUUUUUUUUCUUUCUAAAAUCAACAUCACACUAAUGAAUUGAAUAUUAAAAUAAAGGAAAACUAAUGAAAAGGGCUUCAAAACUUUGAGUUUUAACCAAAAACCACCUACUAACUUUAUUUAAUGAUAAGGACAAGAGAAAAAAAAUAAAAAAAUACAUAACGAAAGUUUGAUCCAGGCUUUUUGUUGUACAAAGAAUAACUUCCCACUCAGAGAAGGCAACAGAGAGUAGGCUUUUAGCAUUGCUAUAAACCUCUAUUAAUCGGAACAACUAAAUAAAAUGUAUAGCCAUGAAGUAUAGCAGUCCUUGGAACAAACUGUAUCAGAAGAGGAGAAGCCAACUAAUUGGUCGAAUGCCGCCACAGGAGCAAUCAAGAAAAAGGUAAAUUGACUUCCAUUUUGCAUUAAAUCAACAUCAUUUGGAUUCUUGAAUGCUGGUCUCAUAGGUGAAACAAGCAGAGCAGCCGUCUUUCCUCUUUCAGCUCUAUGUAAAACCUGAAAUCAUUCAUCAGCAAAAUGUAAGUAUAUUCACUAACAAACACCACUAAGGAUGUGCAACACAACAGAACAUCCACCAUCGAAAUGGUGAGGUCCUUGAGGGCUUCGAUGGUGCCUUCUUCUCCAUUGGGCAUGAAUUUGCCACAACCAUCCGUAGCAGUCCCUCAUAUGGUUGCUGCAUGGUUCUUGAGGCAUUCCUUAUAGUAAGUUUUCAAAAUCAGUGCCGUAAGUUUCAUAAAUAGUGUUAUAAGUUUUCAUAAACAGUGUAGUAAGUUUCAUAAAUAGUGUACCGUGAGUCUAUGUGUCAGAUUUUUUUGUCCUUUUUAUUAAAAUUAUGUCUUUUUCAUUAAAAUUUAAGUUAUGUUGUCCUUUUUAUUAAAAUUUAAGGGGUUUUCAUUAAAAUUUAAGUCUUUUUAAUUAAAUAAAGUUAUAGUAUUGUUGACACACCCCAACCUAAAUCAAGGCAUGCUGGCCGUCACGUGGGAGUGACGUAACCAUGUGCACAAUGCGGAAGCAAUAAAGAUAUAAAGGGAUUGAGAAGGAAUAAAAACCAAACUACUAGCAGAACUAGUUAAGAUAGAGUGCUAGUGAGAGAUUAAGUGUGAAUUACACAACCAGAGCAAAAAUAUCCUAAGUGCAGUCAAGCAGGACAAGUACUAAUAAUACAACACCCGAGGGUGAUCCUACAUGGUGAUGUUCUGUCAGAACCCCUGUCAGAAUCCUCGUGAUCCACCAAAGCACUUCUACUUAAAACCUGGAGGGGCGCAAAACAGAAAGUGUGAGUGGGAAAAAACAAAGCUUUUCAAAAUCAUUUCAUUUCUUAAAUAUUCUAACCCCUCGCUGUAAAACCUCUAUAAUUUCCCAGAAAAUAAUAAUAAUGAUAAGCUGUAUCCGAAAUCAUACUCAAGCAAUUGGCAAAUCCCAUAGAUUAAUAUAGAUUUCGGAUCACAGCUCUCAUCAUUAUUAUUAUUUUCUGGAAAUUAUAGAGUUUUACAGCGAGGUUAGAAUUUUGAAAUGAAAUGUUUGAAACUUUGUUUUUUCCCACUCACACUUUCUGUUUUGCGCCCCUCCAGGUUUAAGUAGAAUGCUUUGGUGAUCACGAGGUUCUGACAGGGGUUCUGACAGAACAUCACCAUGUGGAUACCCUCGGGUGUUGUAUAUUAUACUUGUCCUGCUUGACUGCACUUAGGAUAUUUUUGCUCUGGUUGUGUAAUUCACAUUAAUCUCUCACUAGCAUCUAUCUUAACUAGUUCUGCUAGUAGUUUGGUUUUUAUUCCUCUCAAUCCCCUUUAUAUCUUUAUUGCUUCGCAUUGUGCCAUGGUACGUCCUCCCACUGACGGCCAGCAUGCCUUGAUUUGGUUGGGUGUGUCAACAAUACUAUACUUAUUUAAUUAAAAAGACUUAAAUUUUAAUUGAAAACCCCUUAAAUUUUAAUAAAAAGGACACAUAAACUUAAAUUAAUGGUAAAAGACAUAAUUUUAAUAAAAAGGACAAAAAAACUGACACAAGACUCACGGUACACUAUUUAUGAAACUUACUUACACUGUUUAUGAAACUUAUAACACUAUUUAUGAAACUUACGGCACGUUUUGAAAACUUACUAUAAGGAAGCCUCAAGAACCAGUGCAGCAACCAUAUGAGGGACUGCUACGGAUGGUUGUGGCAAAUUCUAUCCCAAUGGAAGAAGAAGGCACAUCGAAGCCCUUCAGACCUCACCAUUUCGAUGGUGGAUGUUCUGUUUGUGUUGCACAUCCUUAGUGGUGUUUGUUAGUGAAUAUACUUACAUUUUGCUGAUGAAUGAUUUCAGGUUUUACAUAGAGCUGAAAGAGGAAAGACGGCUCUCUGCUUGUUCACCUAUGAGACCAGCAUUCAAGAAUCCAAAUGAUGUUGAUUUAAUGCAAAAUGGAAGUCAAUUUACCUUUUUCUUGAUUGCUCCUGUGGCGGCAUUCGACCAAUUAGUUGGCUCUCCUCUUCUGAUACAGUUUGUUCCAAGGACUGCUAUACUUCAUGGCUAUACAUUUUAUUUUUUGUUCCGAUUAAUAGAGGUUUAUAGCAAUGCUAAAAGCCUACUCUCUGUUGCCUUCUCUGAGUGGGAAUUAUUCUUUGUACAACAAAAAGCCUGGAUCAAACUUUCGUUAUGUAUUUUUUAUUUUUUUUCUUCUUGUCCUUAUCAUUAAAUAAGUUAGUAGGUGGUUUUUGGUUUAAACUCAAAGUUUUGAAGCCCUUUUUCAUUAGUUUUCCUUUAUUUUAAUAUUCAUUCAUUAGUGUGAUUUGAUUUUAGAAAGAAAAAAAAACACACAAGAGAACAAUUGGCAUUGUUGAAUUUAUUAUACUCGUCAAUCAAGUUUUAUUGUUCUUGACUCCUUGAUUAUCAAGUUUUAUUGUUCUUCACUCUCAAUCGUAGACUCUUGACUGCAACAUUAGUACAAUUGUGUCUAAAAACGUGAGCCAUGUAAUGUUUAAGUAAUGUUUGUAUAUUUAUCUUUUCUUGAUAUUAAUUUUUAAUGAUAUUUGAUGUGAAAAUAGAAUAUUUUUUUUUUAUACAAAUCAAUAUACAAAGAUCCGGAGAUUAGAGAACUUUAGAGCCCCACUUCAAAGGCUCGCUAGGCCCCAAAUUCUCAGGGCCAACCCUGGUUAUACCUAGUAUUUGUAAUACUUUAAAAGACAAACUUAGAUGGAUCGGUUCUCUUGGCAGACUGCUGACAGUCUGGUAACUUAAGAUUCGUUCAUAAGGUUGAGUUUUGUCUGAAUAUGUGACCUAAGCUCGCAACAUUUGUGUGGGUCGCAUUGUUAGAGCCACUUGAAUUCCAAUGUUCCAAACUGUCUAAUGUUUAUAUCUUCAUUUAAGAACCAUCCUUGUAAAAAGUUGGCAAAUUGGAGAUUGUUUUGAUCAUCUUAUUGUCAACAUAAAUAUUUGGAAAGAUUGUGUUCUUCUCUCUGUUGAUAAUUAAUGACUUUGUAUUAUUGGAUCUUUGAAUAGGCAUUUAACAAAUGGACGGUUCAUAUCUUGGACCGUAUGAUAUUUGAGGUUACAUACAUUUUUGAGAUUUCUAUGAUCCUCUUAAAAAUGCAUCUAUAUGAAUAUAUAGACGUGCUGGAUAUGACACCCAGCUGCUUAACAUAAAUUGCGUCAUUGACUGACUUUGAAUUGAAAAUUAUAGGCUUUUUCCAUUCUUCUUAUUUUGCGUUUUUGUAAUUGUCCUAUCCAACUUAUGAGAUGACUGAAAUCUUGACACUGGCACCAUAUUAAUGAAGGGAUUUUACCACCUGUAAAUGUAGGCAUAAAAACACUUAAAAUACUUGCAAAGACAGGUUAUGUAGUAAGAUCUCAAGAAGGUCGUUUCCACAGGAUUGAAUGAAUAAUUAUGUUAAAACCAAAAUUAAUUAAUUAUUUAAACACAAUUUGGAAAAUGUUAUUUGUGACCUAAAUAUUAAAAACGAAUUUAAUUAAAGUUAAUUAAAUAAAUUGCCAAAGAAAUAAAAACAAAAUUAAAAUAGUUUGAAAAUAAUUUGAGCAUUAUAGAUCUGCAUGACCUUCCCAUCCUAGUACUUAUGAAUUACCCAUGUAUAUUUUUUAUGCGGAAAUUAUCUUAACACACAAAUUUACCCUCUUUUGACAAUUGUAGUAAAGUAUAAGUAGGGAUCGUCUAAACCGGGGAUUAGGAGGGCUUGCUAAUAACCUUAAAUGGACUCAAAAAUAUCAAAUAAACUUUAAACACUUAUCAAGAUCAAAGACUCAAAGCAAACUUAAAAACUCAAACACUUAAAAACAACUAAAAUAACUAAACUAGACACUAGGAAUGACGGAAACAUGACUUUUUACUUGAAUCAAAAACAUUUAAACUAAACUAAAACAGAUUUAAACACUUUGAAAAAGAACUAAAAGGGGGUUUGAUUUGGGAUGAGUUGUAACAAACAAACAAGAUGAAAAUAGACAUUUGUAAAAUAAUUAGAAUAAAUGAUGGAUGGAUAGCUAGAGGCUUUUUCUCCACACAUGACAUGUAUGCAAAUAUUCAUUUUCCUACUACUUCAUUAAUUUGACGACAAUGCUCCAAAUUAACCAUAAUCACUAGUUAACUUUCAGAUUUCCUUGUUUUAUUGAUUGGAUGGAAUCAUUCUACAACCCAAAACAUUCUUCUAAAGUUCCCCCAUGCAUCUAAUAGAGAUACAAUCAAACAUCAUUACGUCUAAUGAAAAUCAUAAGCAUUGACAAGCACUUGCAACUCAUGACAUCAUGUCGCUUAUGCUAGGAAUUGAACUAACGCAAUCGCUUAUAAGCGACCUUCACUACNNNNNNNNNNNNNNNNNNNNNNNNNNNNNNNNNNNNNNNNNNNNNNNNNNNNNNNNNNNNNNNNNNNNNNNNNNNNNNNNNNNNNNNNNNNNNNNNNNNNNNNNNNNNNNNNNNNNNNNNNNNNNNNNNNNNNNNNNNNNNNNNNNNNNNNNNNNNNNNNNNNNNNNNNNNNNNNNNNNNNNNNNNNNNNNNNNNNNNNNNNNNNNNNNNNNNNNNNNNNNNNNNNNNNNNNNNNNNNNNNNNNNNNNNNNNNNNNNNNNNNNNNNNNNNNNNNNNNNNNNNNNNNNNNNNNNNNNNNNNNNNNNNNNNNNNNNNNNNNNNNNNNNNNNNNNNNNNNNNNNNNNNNNNNNNNNNNNNNNNNNNNNNNNNNNNNNNNNNNNNNNNNNNNNNNNNNNNNNNNNNNNNNNNNNNNNNNNNNNNNNNNNNNNNNNNNNNNNNNNNNNNNNNNNNNNNNNNNNNNNNNNNNNNNNNNNNNNNNNNNNNNNNNNNNNNNNNNNNNNNNNNNNNNNNNNNNNNNNNNNNNNNNNNNNNNNNNNNNNNNNNNNNNNNNNNNNNNNNNNNNNNNNNNNNNNNNNNNNNNNNNNNNNNNNNNNNNNNNNNNNNNNNNNNNNNNNNNNNNNNNNNNNNNNNNNNNNNNNNNNNNNNNNNNNNNNNNNNNNNNNNNNNNNNNNNNNNNNNNNNNNNNNNNNNNNNNNNNNNNNNNNNNNNNNNNNNNNNNNNNNNNNNNNNNNNNNNNNNNNNNNNNNNNNNNNNNNNNNNNNNNNNNNNNNNNNNNNNNNNNNNNNNNNNNNNNNNNNNNNNNNNNNNNNNNNNNNNNNNNNNNNNNNNNNNNNNNNNNNNNNNNNNNNNNNNNNNNNNNNNNNNNNNNNNNNNNNNNNNNNNNNNNNNNNNNNNNNNNNNNNNNNNNNNNNNNNNNNNNNNNNNNNNNNNNNNNNNNNNNNNNNNNNNNNNNNNNNNNNNNNNNNNNNNNNNNNNNNNNNNNNNNNNNNNNNNNNNNNNNNNNNNNNNNNNNNNNNNNNNNNNNNNNNNNNNNNNNNNNNNNNNNNNNNNNNNNNNNNNNNNNNNNNNNNNNNNNNNNNNNNNNNNNNNNNNNNNNNNNNNNNNNNNNNNNNNNNNNNNNNNNNNNNNNNNNNNNNNNNNNNNNNNNNNNNNNNNNNNNNNNNNNNNNNNNNNNNNNNNNNNNNNNNNNNNNNNNNNNNNNNNNNNNNNNNNNNNNNNNNNNNNNNNNNNNNNNNNNNNNNNNNNNNNNNNNNNNNNNNNNNNNNNNNNNNNNNNNNNNNNNNNNNNNNNNNNNNNNNNNNNNNNNNNNNNNNNNNNNNNNNNNNNNNNNNNNNNNNNNNNNNNNNNNNNNNNNNNNNNNNNNNNNNNNNNNNNNNNNNNNNNNNNNNNNNNNNNNNNNNNNNNNNNNNNNNNNNNNNNNNNNNNNNNNNNNNNNNNNNNNNNNNNNNNNNNNNNNNNNNNNNNNNNNNNNNNNNNNNNNNNNNNNNNNNNNNNNNNNNNNNNNNNNNNNNNNNNNNNNNNNNNNNNNNNNNACCUUCGACUUGAGCAAUCAAGGCCGUUGAGUGAGCAUAGCUCCCAACCGUCGGAUGGAAAAGUGAAGAUAAUUUUGUUAAAAAAUAAUAUUAUGGUUUUUAUCAUAAUAAUUAUUCUUUUAAUAUGAAUUAUCUUGGCAUAUUCUUAAGCAGAUAAAUAAGGUGCGAAUUAUAUCCCUAAGCAAGCGGUACAGUUCAAAUUAAGUUGGGAUUUGUGUGGACGUAUGGAUUGGAUAUGUUGCAAGCUAAUAUUAAAAGGGGAUCAGGAUGUAUGCACAGAUGGAUUAUGAAGAAGCCUAGAUAGGCUUGGCUUUUGGUAGUGAUGUGACAAGUCUAAGAUAUAAUAGUCAUGGAUAAUGAUGGCAUAGGGAACAUAAGCAGGCUGGACCUUUUUCUAUGGUGUUUUGGUGGUCAGAUAAAGCAUGGCUACCAAUGGUUUUUCUUUUAUGAAGAAAUAAGAAACCUAGGUGGGCUAGAAAUGUGAUGUAAUAAGCCUAGAUGGACUUUUAUUAAGUUUGAAAAGUCUUGGAACAAAUUUCACGGCUCAAUUUGAAGGAUAUACCCUGGUUUUUGGCUUUUGACGCGGAUCAACUUCAGGAAUUAGAAUUGCAAUUAAACUCUGCAACAUUAUCUAACCGUGCAAGCCUAGUACUUCAGUCCUAUAAAUAUAGAUGCAAUGGCAACGAGAAGAGGACCUUCAAUUCAACACACAACUGCCCUGCACAAAUUCUCUCAACAACCUUGAGACUUUUUCCUUUUCUUUUUUCGCCGACACACCUUCAGUUUGGAUAAACAGCACUGUGAAGGUAAUCGGUGAUAUCUUCAGUCAACAUAGAUAGCACUAUCACCGUAGAACUAGCCAGUCUCAUAGCAUCUUCAGUCAGCAUAGAUAGCACUGCAUCGAGGAUGACUGGUUAUCUAUCCAAGUCUCGGUCGAGAAGGAUUUUCAAAUCCUUAUUGGCAAAGGUCAUCUCAUUAGCCUUUUCGACGAAGUAAGGUGUUACAAAGUACUACAUUCGGCACAUUGAAAGCUGAAUUUGAUAUUGAACUUCGCAGAACUAGCAGCCUUGUCUUCAGGCUCUAGAACCCGAAGGCCGAGAGUGUUCCUUCCUCGGCCGCAGUCGCGAGAUUUAGAAGUCAGGAGCGCACCCAACUCAACAUCAACAAAUUUUACUCCUCGGCUGAGCUCGGCCGACGAGUUGGCAUGCCCCGCACACAUCCGAAUGACGUAGUUAGCUCAUAGAUUACUCGGCCUGCGCGCCACGUAGGCUUGGUAGUUUUUAGGAUCAACAUUUUGGCACGCCCAGUGGGACCCAAUGCUAAUACUACGAAGUUCAUAUGAUAUAUCAAGAUUCCAAUCUGGCUCAACGUAGCCGAUUGUACGAGCUCUUAGAGGAAUUGAAAAAACACAAUGGGGAAUGUAAAAGAUCUUUGGAAGUGGAAAAAGUUCUUCGUGGCGUAAGAGCCAAGAAAAAAUCAUUCGCCUCCAUGUUCAUAAUAGAAGCUCCUGUUACCCUACAAGAGCAAUGGAUAAACGAAGACAGGGCUCGAUUUAAUGCCUGGCUAUCAAGAGAACAUUUUCCUUACGUUUUUUACUACCAAUCAAUUCCAUUUAAAUAAUGGUUGGUUGAAAAGAAUAGGGGUCAAUUUUUCGCUCCGGCCACAACCAACAUUCGGCCUAAGAAAAUUGUCAAGACGGCCGAAGAAAAACCUAGGCCACUUGUUGUUUCGGUCGAGACUGAAAGUAUGGUAGGCCUAGAACAAAAAAUUCAACUCCCUGAGCUAGAUACAAAAAUUGACUUGGAAAAUGAUUCGUCAAAGGAAUGCUCCAAUGACAAACGAGGCCGAGAUAUUGGCCAAGCCCAAGAAACUACGCCAAUUGAUAUGAUUAUUUGCGAAAAAGCCGAUAUGGAGAAAUCCUGUUCGGCCAAGUUGUUCGAAUUAAAAGUCGAAAUUAUGCAUGGGGGCAUAAUAAUUGUUCCACACAUUCGGUGGCCGAAAAUGCAAAAUAUUUUGCCGAGUCAAAAAUAUUUGGGAAAAAUUCUUUAUUCGGCCCAGAGCGAAAUCAAUUUGAAAACUUUGAUGCAAAAAGAUCUCGGCUUGGAAUAAAGCAUCGUUGGCCUCCUCCUCUUUAUUAGUUCGGCCACUUUCAUUUUUCUUUUGUUAAAAAAAAAAAUGACAUUUGAGGCCGGCUUUGGAGUCUUGGUGGUAGAAAUUUGGUAAUUCGGCUGACAAAUCCCUACGCUCGGCCAACCAUUGGGCCGAAGUUGAGGAAACAUUAGGCUGAAGUCGAGGAAGCAUUAGGCCGAAGUCGACAAGGUGGGCCGAAGGUACAAAAGUGGAAUGAAAGACGUGAUGGAGAUGUGCAUGGCAGCAUGGCAGACGGCAUCAUGUCAGAAUUUGGGUUUAUGGCUAUAUAUAUAUAUAUAUAUAGUUUACAUCAAGAUGUCACUAUCAAGAAGAAAGGAAAAACGUAUGGUGGUAGGUGGGGUAUUUUAUAUAUAUGUCAGGAUGUUCUUACCAAAGUUUAAAGGCUAUAAAUCUUAAGUGUUAGUCUUAUAUGGUGCCACUACCGAGAAGAAAAGGGGGGACUACCAAAAAUAAAAAAUACAAAUGGCAUAGAUAUAUAUGUGCCAAGCUCGAUCCCAUUACUUUUCUACCUAUAUCACACAUGCCGAGCUCGACGAUUGGUACUCGGCACAGGUUCAUUUUAUAAAUGUUUGCUCGGCCAGGAUACCGUUUAUAUAUGUAUAUGCCAGCUGCAUGGUUGGCAGGUCACAUCAGACAAUCAUGCUACUUUUAUAGAUUUGUAUUUAGAAGCAGGCCGAGUAUCAGGAAUGGGUUUCAUCAAUCUCGGCCCUAGUUCUUAUCGGCCUUAUUAUACCCUCGACCUCGACCUAUCAGAUGUUAAAGUAGAAUGCAUGCAUAUGCAUGGAAGAAGCAAACGGUGAAUUAGCAGAAGGAGAUCACGACGUUGGCAAAUUUUCUGGGAAAAUAUCAAGUAUAUAAAUAUAUACUGAAAAUCAAAAGCCCACUCACUGGUAUGUCGAAGGAUCGUAGUCCCCGAGUCGCUCUUGAACGUGCUUGUCCUCGGGAUAAGUCUCACCUAUAUGCGAAUUAACUAUAAAAACGUUAUUUAAAGCACAUAGAAAAAACUAGCUAAUAAUUUCUCAUACAAUGCUCAAAUGGGGUGUUUGAAUAUACCAAUGUGAUUUACACAACUCCACGAACAUCCCCAUAUUUUUAGAAAAAUUUUCCGACCACCCACGCGCCGGCCAAGGCACAGCCAGACGUGCCGCCCAUGCGCGAGCACAUGCCUGGCACACCAGCGGCAACAGUGACGCCGAAAUAUUUCGUUAAAUAGUAACGAAAUCCGUUAAAGUUAACUAACGCCGUUGGAAUAUUCGUCAAGUUGACGGAAUAUUCCGUCAUCCCUAACCUCGAACCUCUAGCGACUGUCACCAGCACCGAAAACUGGGUAAAACUUAAAACCUUGAUAUCUUGGUCGAUUCUCAUCCAAAUUUCAUGAAAUUAGUGUCAAAUUAAAGCUCUCAACUGGUAGAACAUCCCCAUACCUGAUUUAAGACCUAAAUCUCACGGAAUCUUGUUGGAGAAUUUCGAGAAAAACCGGCCAAGGUUGAAACUGACAAUCCCAACGUCCAAAUCGCUUGGUUUUCUUCUCCGAGCUUCGUAGGGAUGUUUUAAAGCUUCCUACAAGCUUCAAAUCACCUUCUUAACGUUGAUCUAUGCAUGAAAUGCUUGGUUCCAAGCUCGUCCGUACGGUUUGUACGGAAAAUAGAAGGAAAUCGCGAGGGAAAAGAGAGAUAGCACGGGAAAGAGAGAGAAAGUGUGUAUGUGUGUGUCACACGUGGUCGUCAUCCAUAACAAAAAAAAAUACAUUUAACUCCCAAAGCAUGACACACACACACCCUACAAUCUAAACGUCCAAGGAUAAAACUGUCAUUUCACAUCGUCAAAAUUAAAUAUUCGGGAUGGGCUGUGACAUAUCGCCCCAUCACAACCCCUUUACAAACUUCAACAACUAAUUCUUAUGCCUCUACUUAGUAAAAAGGCUAGGAACAAAAAGAACACUUACCGAGCUACUGGCUUUUGUCCUAUCUCACUUUUUGAGUCCCCAAAUCCAGCAUUCACCUUGGUAAAAUGCAAAACAAAAAACGAUACAGGAAAUUAGGUAGAUUGGUCAACGCAAACUAAAGCUCCAAGAGAGAGCAAGCAAUCAUACCUCAACUAACCCAGCAUCAAUGACUUCGAUCGACACAAAGGUCCGGGUCUGAUCAACGUUAACAAAAAAUUCCCAACUGCUAAAAUCAAUCCAAUACUUGUUUCACAAUUACAAAAUAUGUUCAAAACCAAAAUGGACAAAAAAGCAAAGAAGAAGCAUUCAAGAGAUUAAGGCAUUCAAAUAAUUACACAAAGUGGACAGAGAUCAGUAAAAAGUUGGGGAGGGAAGUGAUAAUCUCUGCAGUGGUUGCUCGGUAAUAAACAAUUAAUGACACUGUAAAAUUACCUUUCAAUUUGGAAAUUUUUUUUUUUAUCAAACGAUUAAUUUUGUUAAAUUAGGUGUUAGAUUAGCCACCGGCGGGGUUUGAAUUCACAUCGUCAUACAAUGACUCAACACCUUUCUAUCACUGCCGUAAAUGACCACUUGCAAUUUAAUGGGAUAAACGUUAAGUUUAUCAAUUAUAUUUGCAUGAUAUAAGCUGAGAAUAAAUUUAAUCAUAUUCAUUACCCAAUCUCGAAAAUAGGAAAACUAAUGAAAAGUGUUUGAAAACUUCGAGUUUUAACGAUAAGGACAAAAUAAAGGGUAAAGUGAAUAGUAUCAGUAUUGAUUUUUUAGUGUAAAAUGUGGUUUUUCGUUAAAGUGGACAGUACCGAGAGCUUUUUGUUAAAGUUCCCAAUUUAAAUUGUAAACAUACAAAAGAUAUACUUACAUGUUAUAUUCCUGUGUCUUCAUUAAAAAAACAUUAUAUUCCUGUCUUUGGUAAGUGCCUUGUAGACAAUCACACAUUUUUUUUCUCUUAUUUUGGAACAAGUAUAUUGUCUGCAAUUUGUUAAAAUAAAUAAAAUAAUAAAAAAUUAGAACAAUUCCCUUGAACCAUGAACGUUUAAUGUGGAGAAAUUGAAAGUUGAAAUAAGUGGAAAACACAGAGGAGAAGAUUCAACGAAUAUUGUGAUCAAAAUCAGAACUCAGUGAGAGUUCAACAGAAAGAUCAAUGGAAAAUGCAUUCACACACUAACACGCCCAACUCCGGAAUCCUCCAAACACCAGAAUGGGCACGUGUUGGCCAACACCCGAGAGUGAUGAAGCCAUAUUAACAUGCAUGUUAUGAAGAAAAAACGAACGUAAAUAUAACUUUAAUGAAUAUGUAUUUGUGAGAAUGUGUUCAUAGCAUACAAGUAAUCAAGAAUAUUGUAGAAGGAAUAUUAUGAAAAGGUACGAACAAAGGAAUGGGUCCUACUGUCACGCCCCAAACCCAAGGUCGGAAAUAAAAACUCAAACCGGAAUUUGAAACAUGAGUUGAAAGCUCAAUAAAUAAAAGGAAAUUCAAACGGGUUGGAAAAUAAAUUUUUUCUUAUAAAAUAACUUGUUGAUGCACAAAAUCAAUGAGGACUUUGGUACAACAGAAAGUGUUAAGUUUGUGACCUUCGCUAGAUUGUUCUGAUCACUAGUGUGGAUAAGUAUGUAAAUGGAUAGAGACAGGGAAGCAAACACAAGAUGUACGUGGUUCACCCAGAUCGGUUAUGUCAACGGAGUAGAGGAGUUCUUAUUAAUUGUGAAGGGUUUACACAAGUACAUAGGUUCAAGCUCUCCUUUAUUGAGUACAAGUGAAUGAUUUUGUACAAAUGACAUUAGCCAAUAUUGUGAGAGAAUGAUCUCUAUUUAUAAAAGAGAGUUUCUAGUUUCAUUCUGACAUUGACACGUGUCGUGUUGUGAUUGGCUUCUGAUGUUAACACAUGUCGUGUUAUGAUUGGCUUCUGAUGUCGACACGUGUCGCACUGUGAUUGGCCUCCUGGUUGGAGGGAAACUCUUCUGGGUCCUUGAUGGUAUAACGUUGACCGGUGCUCAGUAGUUUUAGGAUUGGUCAAGUAUGGUACAAGCAGUGCUCCCCUAAGUUCCCGAGUAAGGGAAGCUCCUCGGUUGGGGACUUGCAAGAUCCAAGCCAUUGAGUAAUCACGAAACUUCUAAGUACCGAAGUGUGGUAUCAUUUUCACUUGCCUUAUCUGUCUCAUAUGUAGAUGUGGCAUCUUCUCUGGAAGUACUUUUCCUCUACCUAGGGGUGGUAUCUUUAACCGAUGAAGAUGCACAAGGUAAUGUAUGAAUUUCACUUAAAGCUUACUUGUAGUUUCAGGCUUGGUCAAGUGCGAUACAAACCCUAUAGUAGGAGUCCCCCAAGUCGCCGAGCUAGGAGAUUUGCCGAAGGAGGUAACAGACAAGGUAAGAAAUCAUACUUCCAAGCAAGCAACCUAGAUCAGAGGUUCGACUUCGGCUUCUGGUUGAUUGUUCACCUUCUUCUUGUGUCGUAAAUAGCACCAAGGAUAAGGAAAAGCAAAUGGAAGAGAUGAUAUGAGAUACUUUUGCUUUUGAAGAAGUAACUUUCCACAGGCUUAUUCUUGAACUAGACUGGAGGGUUUUUUGGUUUACUCAAGAGUAUAAGGCCGACUCAAGAAUUUGUCGGUCAAAACAAGUCCAUCAAAUCUAGAGUAUGUUCGACCCUGAUGAUAUGGGAUAUUUUUGCUGUUGACAAAGUAGUGGAUGUAUCGACACGUGUUCUGUUACGCUAGUCUCCACAUGCUUCCUUGUAUCCUUCUCACUUGCCCUAUCUGUUCCUUAGGCAGAUGUGGUAUCUUCUCUGGAAGCAUAAGAUGUUGAAGAUAAGUACUCGAGAGCAAUGCUAGGUAAGUAAUCAGGCAAGGGGUUCUAGGCAGUCAGUUCCUGACUGGAAGCUUGAUUCCAAGUGCUGACUGAUUGCUUUCUUUCUCCUUGUUUUGCAGGUAAGAACAAGGCCAAAGGAAAAGACAGGGAAAAAGUAUGAUAUGGGAUACUCUUGCUUUUAACCCUGAUGAUAUGAGAUACUCUUGCUCUGGUGUGGCUUGUUUGCAGAGGUAUUAUUGGGAAGAAAAGAAGCUGAGUAUUUUAAGAGACUCGGCUGAGAGUGCCCUCUUGGAUGUGAAGAAAAGUUGAGCUUAUUUGUAGGUUUGCUUGGCUGUGGAUGAUGGAGGUCGACAUAUAUAGGAGUCUCCUUAACAAAAAGUAGUAGUGCUAUUCCUUUACCCUUCUUGGUCAUAGCAAUGUAGUGGGAGUUGCAAGCUUCACGUGUUUUAACUUUGUCGGAGCACUUUGAAAAAGUGGUUUGUGAUAUCUGGAAAGCUGAUGUUGCGUGUGAAGAUUGCAGAUAAGCUUUAUCCAAGGAAAUCUGGCUCUCAAAGUUCAGAGAGCAGUGCCUCUUCGGUUUUUGAGAAAGCAAUCUUGUUGAGAGUCUGGCUCUCGAGAUUCGGAGAGUAGUGUCUCUUCAAUUUUUUAGAAAGUAAUCCUGUUAGGAAUCUGGCUCUCGAGAUUCAGAGGGUGGUGCCUCUUAAAUUUUUGAGCAUGUAAUCCUGUUGGGAGUCUGGCUCUCGAGAUUCGGAGAGUGGUGCCUCUUUGAUUUUUUAGAAAGCAAUCCUGUUAGGAGUCUGACACUUGAGAUUCGGAGAGCAGUGUCUCUUCAAUUGUUUAGAAAGUAAUCCUGUUAGGAGUCUGGCUCUCGAGAUUCAGAGGGUGGUGCCUCUUCAAUUUUUUAGCAUGUAAUCCUGUUGGGAGUCUGGCUCUCGAGAUUCGAAGAGUGGUGCCUCUUUGAUUUUUUAGAAAGCAAUCCUGUUGGGAGUCUGACACUUGAGAUUCGGAGAGCAGUGUCUCUUCGAUUUUUGAGAAAGUAAUCCUGUUGAGAGUCUGGCUCUCGAGAUUUAGAGAGUGGUGCCCCUUCGAUUUUUGAGCAAGCAAUCUUGUUGGGAGUGUUUUCUCGAAUGUGAGUAAAGGUUGGGCAUUUUUGCUAGUCUGCCUUGCCACGGAGCACGAAGGUUGACACACAUUGGGACUUCAAAAUUUAUGGGUUUAAACUUUGUCAGAGAUCUUUGGCAAAGUUAUCUGUGGUACCCGAGAAGCUGAUGUUGCGUGUGGAAAGUGGUGCCUCUUCGAUUUUUGAACCAACGGCCAUGUUGCCAUUUCUUUUAUAAGGGCACCAAUUAUGUGCAAGAAGUACAUUCAGAGAGUUAUUGCUUGUAGGAAUUUUCCCCUUACUUCAGAGAUUUAUUGCACCUCAUUUCUCCUUCAUCAUUUCUGAGAAUGUUUGGCCCAUUCGACUGUCGUUUUGACUUGAACUUUGGUUAAGAAGCAGCCAUGCCUUCUCAAGACAACAUAUAGCGCCCAUCCUUCUUAUCCCUUACUGGUCCUCUUACCGUUGGGGACUUUGUGAUGAAGAAUGAUAUGACCGCUGCGGUGGUGGCCAGGAACCUUCUCACUCCCAAAGAUAACAUACUACUUUCCAAACGGUUUGAUGAGUUGUUUGUUAAGGAUUCUCUGGUUCUUAGUGUUCAGUGUGCAGGUUCUGUGUCUAAUAUGGCCCAACGCCUAUUUGCUCGAACCCGCCAAGUUGACUCAUUGGCGGCUGAAGUGAUAAGUCUCAAACAGGAGAUCAGAGGGCUCAAGCAUGAGAAUAAACAGUUGCACAGGCUUGCACAUGACUAUGCUACAAACAUGACGAGGAAGCUUAACCAGCUCCAGAAAUCUGAUGGUCAGAUUUUGCUUGAUCAUGAAAGGUUUGUGGGUUUGUUCCAAAGGCAUUUAUUGCCUUCAUCUUCUGGGGCUGUACCGCGUAAUGAAGCUCCGAAUGAUCAACCUUUGGUGCCUCCUCCUUCUGGGGUUCUGCCCAGUACUGAGGCUCCAAAUGAUCACCCUCCGAUGCCCACUCCGAAUGAAGUUCCUUACAACUGGCACCUCUUCUGGACGUAAAGAAGGCUCAUCCUUCACAACUACGUGGGCUAAAAACCCCACACAACCCUUAUUCAACAACCUAGUUGCUCGAAUGGCAGAAAUAAUACUAUUGGGGAGGACACAUCGCUCACCCAUAAAUGUAACUGAUAGAAGUCCUGGCUGAUUGAACGUCACAAUUUUCUCCCAACAUGCGACAUUCGCUCGGUGCUUAGAUAGCCAAUCCAUUCCUAGAAUGACAUCAAACUCCCCCAGUUUGAAAGGAAUUACAUCAAUCUCUAAGUUUUCCCCUUCAAAAAUAACUGGACAAUUCUGAUAUUGCCAUUAAGCACAAAAUAAUUCACCACUUGGCAUUUGAACCAGCAUAUCAAAACCUAGUGGUUGAGAAGGUAUAACCCGAGCAAAAGAUGAAGAAACAAAAAACUAUGUAGCACUGGAAUCAAUUAAAACUUUAGCCCAAGUAUUACAGACAGGUAACGUACCAGUGAUAACUCGAUGAUCCUAAUCAGCGUCCUGUUGAGUCAUGGCGUUCAUACGUCCAUGACCUCUGGAACCACGUCUUGCUCUGUUCCCCUGAUUACUGUUACCAGAAGAUGUUCCAGCCUGCUGUUGGGUCGAAAACUGAGCACUCUGGCUGUCAUUUCCUCUAAAACCCUGGCUACCUCUGCCACCAAACUGCAAACCUCUAUUACUCUUGUAGUUCCGAUUAGUACUGCUACCAUAACUCCAACUACUACUGCCACUGCCAUCAUAGCUUUGUCGGGCGCCAAAAUUCUGAACUGGCUGAUAUCCACUAUAGCUUGAGCCAGAGGUAAAAUCACCAGGUGGUGCUGCUGAAGGACAAUCACAAACAAAAUGCCCGGUGCCACCGCACUUGUGACAAACUACAGCAGUUAUCCCACAACUCCCUCGAUGACGUAACCCACAUUGAUUACAGACUAGAUAACUUGGAGUGAAAUGACCGAAAGAUCGUCUCGCCGACUCGUUGCCUGAGCUUCACUGGAUGACCUUGAACUCCGACCUGGUCGUUUAAAUGAAACAAAGUGUCUGGGACCUACAGAACUGGAAGGGCCUGCUGAUUCUUUGGUACUCCGUGACCGAAAAUUCCAACUCCUCUUAUUCUAAUUCCUUUGUCUAAUCUGUCUCUAAGCUGGAUCCAAGUCUGAGGUUGAUCCUGUAUCUCUGUAUCCCACUUAGACUUAUCUCGAUUACUUCUUCAUAAGUUCUAGGUCUCUGAGUAGCUACCAGCGUACAGUACUCUUGGUUCAGUGCAAGCAUCGCAUGAUCCAUCUGUGCUUGUGGAUUAUCAUAAGUCCCAUCAUGAUGCCUAGCCAAGCGCCUGAAAGUACUGUCAAAUUUUGUGAUGUUGAGGUCACCCUAUCGGAACUCUACAUACUCCUGCCUCUUCCUCAAUCUGUAACUAGGGCUUAGAAAGUAAGUAAUAAAACGUUUCCUGAAGGCAGCCAAUGUCAUCCAAGAACCAGGUGGACGAGAUUCCUUCGUUGAUUUCCACCAACUUCUAGCAUCACCCUGAAUGAAGAAACCUACAGUGUUUGCCCACUCAUUUAGUGGACAUUUCAUAGCCUCUAAAGUAUACUCCAUUUUCUCUAACCACUGCUUAGCCUCCUCACAAUUUCCCACAGAUUUCAACUCAGUAACUCCAUGACUUCUAGCGAUUUCUAAAUACAUCUGAUUCGGCUUAUGACCUGGAAGAGCAUUCAUUAACGCAAAGGUAAAUUGCUGGAUUCCCCCCAUUAUAGAAGAACGAGGUCGUCGAGGCACAUUCCCACAAGGAUUAGCCAUGAUUCUGACAAAGGCAACAAGAUUUAGAAAGGCUGAAAUUUGCCAAAUUGGUGGAAAGAAACCCUAACCAUGCUUUGAUACCAAUCUGACACGUCUCGACCCCGAUAUUCCUUGAAUACCCGGAUAGGCACGUGUUGGCGGACACCCUAGGGUGACAAAAGCCAUUUAUUGACAACAAGAGUAAUGAUUAGGAGGAAAUAAGCAUGAAUAAUCAUUAGAAUCUAAAAGUAAUAAACAAAGUUUAAGGAAAUGUCUAGAGUGCACAGAAUACGUUCUAAUUGAAGAUCACAUAGGAAAUAUCAUUACAAGAUAUCACACAAGUGAGUGAUAGAUUGCUACUGGUAGGGGAAUGAAUGUAAGAUCCCACAUCGCCCAGGGGAUUGGAUCCUGUAAGCCUUAUAUGUAUAUUCCCAUCUCUACCUAGCAUGAGGCCUUUUAGGAGUUCACUAGCUUUGGGUUCCAUCGGAACUCCGAAGUUAAACAAGUUCGCACGAGAGAAAUCCCAUGAUGGGUGACCCACUGGGAAGUUAUCGUGUGAGUUCCCAGAAACAAAACCGUGAGGGCGUGAUCGUGUUGGAAGUAUGCCCACAAAGCCACUCAUUUGAUGUAAUAGCUUUUUGGAAUACUUAAUGUAUUAAACUUUUAUAUGUUUAAUGGAGGGCAAAGCUUAUUGUUAAUCACUAUUUAUUGUAUCAUGUGUUUAAGCAAUAAGGGAAUCCAAGGGAUGUAUUUGUUCUAAGAGAAAAGUGAUCUAAGUGAGUCAGAUUAUCGAGACCAUUCUCUUAUGUUCAUUCCUAAAACGUUCCUAGCCAUAGGAUUGCCAAUUGGGCAUUGACAAUCCGCUAAGGUUAGUAUGUGUUAUGUUGACUCAAGCGUGAGUAUGACUAGUCUCAAGUCAUUUGGUGUUGGACACUAAGACAAACACAUAGGUGCUCGAAAGAGUAAUCGAGUACACUGAACUACGAUCAAAAGAGAGUUCGAACAUACAUGUCGUGUAUGAACUCUAAAGUUGCAAUAUGCAAAGUAGUCCUUUGACCUGAGGCAUCAUAGAUGUCUAAUGGUUAGGUUCUUGAUCUUUAAUCAUGUCAACGGCAUUCCCUCGGAAUGUCCACGGCAUUGUUGGGGUCAAGCUAUCUAGUAAUGUAGGCAUAUGAAUGCACAACAAGGGAUCUCUAACCUUCCAUGGUGGAAGGAGAAUACUCUAAGAUAUGAUUCUAAAGUCUUUGGCCAAAGCAAAUGAAUAUGACUUAGGAAGUUUGUUCCAAAUCAUAUUCAAGGGAAUCAUAUAGGAAAGUAUCACAUUGGAUAGUAGACAUGAAACAAACUAUCACUUAAACAAUGUGAUUAAGAGUAUUGUAUUAGAGAAGGACCGUAUUGCAUUGUAAUUGUAACUGGAUAGGUUCUCCAACCAAUUCUACUUAGCUUGGGUAACCAUGAUAUGCUGCUAGGCGUCACUCAUGGUUUGUGGAAGCCCUAAUGGUUAGCAAACACUAAUCAAUAAAGGGAGAAUUGAAAUGUGGUUUCAAUUCACAAUCGAUCGUUAAGAGUAACAAUCGCCCACUGCCUCGUUAAUUGGAACCUAAUGGAUCGUACACCGAGUAAGGAUGUAUGUGAAGAAAUCAAAUGAAAUGGAUAAGCAAUUAAAUGGUUUAAUUGAAGAAUGGUCAAGAUUAAUUAAUUAGUUAAUUAAUUUUACGAAAGGUUCGUGUUGGGCUUAUAUGUUGGUUUUGGGUUUCGGGGCCCAAAAGCGUUUUGGUCCAAAAGGCCCAUUAAGUUUAAGUUGUAUGACAACUAAAACAAAAUGGGCAAAUAGCCCAAUAACAUCAAAGAGGCCGGCCAUUAGGGUGGAUGGGCAAACUUGGAUUAAUUACAAGUUUGCCACUCACUUGUAAUGAAGUAUAAAUUCAACUUUAUAGCUUUAUUUUCAAAAAAAGGGUUUUCUUGAUGAAAUUGGGUGAAACAUUUUCUCUCUUUUUCUUCCAUGAGGCCGGCCACUAAGGGGAGGGACAUCUAGCAAUCUCUUCUUCCCUAAGUCAUCCAUAUCAUCUUCACAAGAUACAUCCUUGGUGAAGAGACUUAGAGACAUCAAACUUUUGGUGUUUUGGAGAACAUAUCCUCAUUUCCUCAAAUCUUCAAAGGAGCACUAAAGGGAGGAAAACACAAGGAGGAUUCAAGGAGCUUGGAGGUGACUUGAAGGCCCUCCACUUGGGUGAAUCCCUUGUGGAAACAAGGAUGAGCUUCAAGGGUAAAGAAACUCUAAAUCUUUACUUAUCUUUAAUGUUGUUAAAGAGUUUAUUGGUUCACCAUAUACUAGGCUUUGAAAGUCAUGGGUUUUAUGAAUUGUUUUUUAAUGCAUGUCUACUUUAAAGUGUUAAUAGCUUGCAUAUGUAUUCAAAUGUUCAUACUUGUUCUUAGCUAGGACAAAAUUUUUCCUUCAAGUGGUAUCAGAGCCUAGGCCUAGUUUAUGGUGAAUCCUUUUGGGUUUUGUGACUUUCAUAUUUUGUGAUUUAAAUGUUGUAAAUGUUACAAGCUUUGUUCUUGCUUUUGAAUAUAUAAAUUUUGCUAGAAAAUUUAGCAUCUCAAAUGUUGUAGAUGUAUUUCAUUUAAGCAUGAAUAUUGGAACUAAAAUUUGGUGCCAUGUAUUUUGGGAAAUUCGGCCAAAUCCAAAGGGUGAUUUUUUGGGUUCAUGUUUGUCUUGUUAAAUGGUUUUAAAGUGACUUUUGGAACCCCUAAGUACCCUAGGAUGUUAGCCCUCUUUUGAGUGGUGAAAAAUUGAGUUUUGGUAAGUGAAAAACAUUCAUGGAGCUAUUAUGAGUUUUCAUGGUGUUCUUCAAUGUUCUUGAAGUUCUUGCCAAGAACAUAAAGUUUUGAAGUUUUGAUUCAAAAGUUUUAUGUUUUUCAUAAAGUUUUGGUUUAUUAUUUGAUGGUUGAUGGUUAUAGGUGAGAUGUGAUGAAAUGUUUUAAUGUUUGUCAUAGAUUUUAAUUUUUUCUUACAAUGUCACAGCCCGUCCCGGAGAUACAUUUGACGGGAAUGUGAAAUGACGGAUUUACCCUUAGUGGGUAUUAAGGUACGUGGGUGUGACGUUAUUUGGAUUAAUUUUAUAAGUUGGAUUAAAUUUAUUAGUUUGUAAAUAUUGUGAUUAGGGAUUAAAUGGAUGGUGAGGAUUGGUUUUGGUUGGGCCACGCAGGACCUCUCUCCUUCUCUCCUCCCCCGUGCCUCUCUGUCCCUCUCUCUCCUCCAUCUCGACUCACUCUCUCUCUCACCCUCAAACGUAUGGACCACACUCACAAACCUUCCAAAUGUCACGGAUCGAAGCUAUUAAGGUAUGGUUCUUCAUCCUUUUGACGUUCUGAGUUGAAUGGUACUAGUUUUAGGAAGUGAAACCCUCGAAAUCACGUGAAACCCGAAUCUCCAUUUUUGGUCACUGUUCAUGCACUCGUAAUAUGUUGUGUUUCAGGGAAUUCUAAGCUUAUAGUGAGCUUAGUGAGGUCCCAAGGAAGCUAGGAGUGCUUCGUUGGAAGGAUUUGGACGUCGGGAUCACAAGGGUUAAGUUUGGCCGGUUUUGCUCGGAUUUUUCCGGUGAGAUUUAGUUGUUUUUGAAGCUUAAAAGUAGUAUAUUGUGAUUCCUCAUGUUGAGGGCUUCAAAUUGAUAUAUUACGAAGAAAAUGGUUUAGAAAUGAAGGAGAACGAAGCAUUUGAAAAUUUCCCAGUUUUCCGGCCACCGGAAAAACCAGUCCGGCAAGCUCGCGAGGAAGAAGGUGCGCGUGGGCGCGCGUGGACCCGUGCUUUCCCUGGCGCGUGGGGGCGCGUGACACAUCAAAAAAUUAUUUUAAAAAUUUGUCAACGUCCGUGACGUCGAGUAGGUCAAUGUGGUAUAUUCAUAUACCCAAUUUGAGCACCGUAUGAGAAGUUAUUAAGAAUUGUUGGUUAGGUGCUUUAAAUAACGUUUUAUAGUUUUCGCAUUUAGGUGAAAAUGUGAAUUGACGAUCCGACCGUUGGAUCGUCACCAAACUUUGAUGCAUUCUAAUACGUAAUAUUUGAGGAUUAUAGGAAUUUACGGAUUGGGAAUCCGAUUUGCGGAUCUUUCGGAAUUGGAGUUGUAAGUCCAUAAUAUAGAAUGUUAACCGUCACUUAGUUUUGUUAAUUGACGGAGAUCCGACCGUUGGAUGGUAAUGAAAUUUUAGGAUGUUGUCCUAGAGAUAUAUUGUGGACCUCUGGAAGUUAUGGAUUUAAAAUCUGAGUGGCAGAUCUUCCGGAUCGAACUUCGUAGUGACGUAUUUUAUAUAAGUUAUAUAUUCUAUCGAUAUGAAUUCUAAGGUUGGAUUUGAUUAUUGUUUUAGGCGCCGAUCGUCAUGACGCCUUGGCGUAUUGUGCUAGGGAGUUGUAGGGCGAACUCCAGGUGAGUGGGCAGUAAUUUCUGUUUAUACCUAUAUACUAUUGAAAUUCCCAAAAAUUGAGUUUUAAUGAAAGUAUGUUUCUAAAAUGCCAUGCAUGCAUGAUAUGAAUGAUAUGAGUUAUAUGAAUUGAUAAUUGAUGCAUAUAUAUAUAUGUGAAUUGACGCGGUGGACGCACAGGUGAGUUUUAUUAUUAUUCAGAUGAAUUAUUUUAUAUGAAUUGCAUUGAAAGCUCAUAACCUGCCCCUAGGUGUUAGUGCUUAUAUUAUUAUUCACCACACCGCACGCUCGUCUUGGAUCCAAGUAGGUGGAUGUCGUACAGACCAUGUGAGGGUUCCGACAUGCUAGUCGUACAUAUCACUAGUUGUGAUUCCGACUAGUGGGUGACCUUAGUUAUGCGCGCUGAUGAUUGAUGAGAGAAGCACUAGAGCGUAUUUAUACACCUGUCAUCGUACAGACUACUAUAUGUAGUUCCGAGUGACGUGCAGAGUUGGACCGUACAGGUCACCGAGGUGACUCCGGUUGGAUUGGAUGUUGAGCUUUAGAAUCAGCCGUACAGGACCACUUCAGGGUCUCCGGUUGAUUUAUUUUCACCUGAUUUAUAUUAAUGCAUCUAUAUUAUGUUUUUGGACACUUGGCAUGGCAUAUUUUUCUGAAAAGUGUUAAAGGAUAGUGAUUUGAGAUAUUUGCUUAUAUAUAUGUUUAUAUAUAUGCUAUUUUCUGGGAAAGUAUAGGUUUUACAGCGAGGGGUUAGAAAUGUUUUAAAUGAAAGAUUUUCGAAAAGCUUUGUUUUGCUGACCCACUCAAUUUUGUUUUGCGCCCCUCCAGGUUCAAGUUAGCAGAGCUUUGGUGGCCACGAGGAACCCAACAGCAUUCUGACAGAAUUCACAAAAGUAUGACUCACCCUCGGGGGUUUCCAUUUUAGUAAUUGUAUUUUAAAAGCUUCCGAACUGUGUAAAUGGUUACGUCACUCUCACGUGACAGCCAGCACGCCCUCCUUCAGGACGGGGUGUGUCAGUUGGUAUCAGAGCCUAGGUUGCAAUUCUGGACAUCUUGAGAAAUUCUUAGUGUCUUCUGUCAGAACGAUACCGCCUCGUAGCGAGCCACGUAGUUCGGAUGAACCUAAUUUCCCUGAUAUAGUAGUUUGGGGGGAAAUUAUUGCCAUUAUGAUUCAGUCUAUUAUCUAAAGGAACCUUUGAGACUGGUUAUAAAUUAAAUUUGAAUCCCUUUAGGGAUAUGAAGGACCUAAGGGAGCAGAUUGAUGACUUAAUCAUUUGAGAAAAGGCGUUUCGGAUUAUGCAAAGUUAAGGGAAUCUUCCUCCCGACAGGUGGGUCGAGAUGACUACCUAGUUUUUUAGUGUUGAAUCUGCAUUCUGAUGGAGAUAGGAAUGUUAUCCGAUGAUAUCGGAAGGACAGCUGUUUGGAAGUUGUUUAAGAAUUGUUUAAGAAAAGUUCAUUCCUCCGGCAUAUUGUGAUGGUAGUAAGCAAGAAUUUGCAAAUGUGAGACAAGGAAAAUGACGACGGAUGAAUAUUAUAGGAAGUUUACAUACUUGCCUUGUUUCCAUUCGGAUGUUGUUGUUAAUCUGGUCGAGGUGUUAUGUCGUUUUUGGCUGGAUAAUAAGAAGAAGUGGCGUUCUUUGGCGACCACUAUCCAAUGUACUAUUUACCAAGAAUUUACGAGAUGUUGUUGAGAAUUGAGGACUCUGAGAGUAUGAUCAGCGAGAGUAAAGAAGAAUAAGAAAAGAAUGGUAAUUAGAGGAAAGACGAUAAAGUUAAAGAUCCGUCAUAUCAAGGACAUUGAAAGACUCAGAGCUUCAAAAGAAGUGAAGUUAGAACUAAUUCUUCCAGCUUAGGUUUUAAUGCCACUGGUCGGAGGUGAAGUGAUAGAUUUACUGGUGAUCCCAGAUCUUAAAGACAAGGUGACUCGAGUAAGGGAAAUGUACCUUUGUGCCAUAGGUACAAUAUUAGACACUUUGGAGAGUGUGGGAAUCAGUGAAUGUGUUCAUGUGGACGGAUGGGACAUAGAGUUAUGAAUGAUCCCUAGAAUCAGUUGUUACCCAGCAGUCUUCCCUGACACCACAAUAUCGAUCCAACAGGUUUAUAGACUUAAUAGUUUGGUCAGAUGGGCCGUGAGUACAAGGAUAUUUGAUGAGUUAUAAGUCCAGCCGUUCAGGCCACAAGAGGUGGAUCCGGCAGACAUAUUAUUUGGAAAAUUGAUGAGUAAGUCGUACAGGUCACUAUAGUUGACUCCGACUUAUGUGCUAGCAUGGAUGGUUGAGCUAGAGAAUUAGCCGUACAGGUCAUUCUAGCUGACUCCGGCUAAUAUAUUUCUUAUUAUGGACGAUGUUGCCAAAGAAAGUAAUGUUGGAGCACGAUCAAGGCGUAUUUAUGUAUUUCUAAGGAAGAACAAGAUGAUAAUAUUACACCUUCAGGAAUUGUUACUUACUUAUCGAGACAACAGUGAGUUAUUUGUAUUGCGGGCUGCAGACCGUAAUAUUUAUAACUUAUUUGUUGGAUUCGUUAAGCAAGUAAACAGGUAGGGCACUCUAUGUUGAUUUGGUUUAUUCAGGAUGCCUAACGAUGGUGGAAGAUAUAGUUAUGCCAGUGAAUCUUAUUUCGUUGGACAUCGUGGAUUUGGAUGUGAAUUUAGGCACAUAUUAGUUGCGUUAUAAUCAUAACAAGAUAGAUUGCUACGUGAAACCAGUUCCCUUCCACCAAUUUGGAUGACUAGAGACUACUUUUGUGGGUAUGCAAAGCGGAUUGAGUUAGGCCGUUAUUUAUGCUGUGAGAGCAAAGAGAUUGUUAUCGAAAGGCUGCCAAGGAUACUUAGCUCAUAUGGUGCUAAAUGAUGUUGCUUCUAGUAGUUGGGAGAUGUAAAGGUGGUUAGACAUUUUCUGGAUGUUUUCCCUGAGGAAUUACCUGGAUUGCCGUUAGGCGGAAAUAUGGAGUUCACUACUGAUUUGUCUCCAGGCACAAAUUUUAUGUUAAAGAUUGGUUCAUGAUGAGUUAAGGGAAUUGAAAAUUCGGUUACAGGAAUUGGUUGAUAAGGUAUCAUUUAAAGUACAUCACGUUGGGGGAGCACCAGUUUAUUGGUGAGGAAGAAAAUGGACAUUAAGGCUAUGUUUUAAUUAUAGGUAAUUGAAUCGGGUAAUGAUCAAGAACCGUUAUCCAUUGUUGCGUAUUGAUGAUUGUUGAUCAACUUAGAGGUCUGCGUAUUUCCUAAGAUUGACUUAAGGUCUUGUUGUUACUGAUUGAAGAGUUAAUGAUAACGUUCCUAAGAUUGUGUUCAGGACUCGUUAUGGUCAUUAUGAGUUUUAGUGAUGUUAUUCGGAUUGAUGGAUUCUCUUGCUGUUUUAUGAGUUUGAUGGAUGAAGUAUUCCAGGAAUGCAUUGACAAGUUUGUUAUUGUUUUCAUUGACAAUAUUCUGGUAUACUCUAAGCCUAGAGCAGAGCAUGUUAGAUAUUUUAAGUUGAUGUUACAAAGUUUGAGGGAACGUCGAUUGUAUGCUAAGUUUAGCAAAUGCCAAUGUUGGAUGAAUCAAGAAACAUUUAUGAGAUAAGUUAUAUUUGCUAAAGGUAUUCAACUGAUUUUUUUUAAAAGGUAGCGGAAAUUGAGAAUUUGGAACAACCACGAACUGUGAUUGAGAUUCGAAGUUUUCUUAGUUUGGCAGGCUAUCGUGGAUGGUUCGUGAAAGAUUUCCCAGUCAUUGCUUUGGCACUGACGACAUUGACGAGAACAGAGGUUAAGUUUGAGUGGAUAAUAAUUGUGAGCAAAGGUUUCAACAGUUGAAGUAUUUCCUCACUCAUACACGUAUUUUAGCACUCCCAGAAGAUAGCAGUAAUUAUGAGGUCUUUAGUGAUGCUUCUUUGGUUGGUCUUGGAUAAGUGUUAAUGCAGCAAGGUAGGGAGAUUGCCUAUGUUUCACGGCAAUUGAAACUUCAUGAAAUGAAUUACUCUACUCAAUUUGGAGUUAGUAGCAAUCAUCUUUACUUGGAAGUUUUGGAGACAUUACUUUGAUAGUGAAAAGUGUAAGAUUUUUAUGAAUCAAAUGAGUCUCCAAUGUCUGCUUACUCGGAGGUAUUCUAAUCUUAGGCAACGAAGGCGGAGCGAGUUACUAAAUAAUUAUGAUUGCACGACCAGGGUGAUCGUGAAAUUGUUGCGACUGAUGCACUUGGUAGGAAGGCUCCGGUAAGAAUUAAUGCUUUGUAUGCUUGUUGUCUUUUCCCUUCUUGUGGAUUUGGGACCCUGGAGUGAAACUUAAGGUAAAAGUUGAGAAGAAGCUUAUUUGACUAAUUUUCAGGUUAGACCAAUUUUAGUUGAUUGUAUACUUGAUGCCCAGAAAUUUGACGAAGGAAUUCAAGAAUUAACCGAGGCAGAAUUGGAUGGUAUGUUUAUGCAAGAGAAUGGGACGUAUGUGCCAAAUUAUGCGGAAUUAAAGAAAGCAAUUUUGACGAUGUACACUGUUAAGUUUUUUUUAGGUAUGUUGGUUACUUCUAAGUUUUGGAUAGCGUACAGGAAGCUUGGUUACCAAGUUACCUUAUAGCACAACUUAUCGCCCUCAAAUAGAUGGUUAAUCAGAGAGCACUAUCUAGACUUUGCAGGAUAUGCUGAGAUCUUCAGUAUUGUAGUUGGCGACGUUUAGAUUAAGCGGUUGGAUUUGAGGGGAAUUGCCUACAUCUAUAGCGUUCAUUCGAGCAUGGGUAUGAAACCAUUUGAGGCACUUUUUGGUAAAGAUUGUAGUACACCUUUGUGUUGGACAGAAGUUGUCAAAAGAGUUCUUGCGGGCCCUGAGGUUAUGGAUGAGUCUACUUGGAAUGUUCGAGUGAUUAAUUUUAACUUGGAAAGCGGCCCAAGAUCGCCAGAAAAGUUUAACAGACAGACAUGCCACUGAUCGAGUGUACAAGGUAAGAGAUUGGGUAUUUAUGAAGUUAUCACCGUGGCGAGGUGUUGUUCGAUUUGGAAAGAAAGAUAAGUUGAGUCCUAGGUACACCGGACCUUAUCAGAUCACCGAGCGAGUCGGUGAAGAUGUUUACAGGCUUGAAUUGCCGUCAGAGCUGUCCAGUGUACAUAAUGUGUUUCACGUUUCGGUGCUUCGACAUUAUGUUACAAAUCCAUCGCAUGUGAUCCCUCUGCAACCUUUAGAGUUUAACCCAGAUUUGUGUUCGAAGAGGAGCCGAUGACGAUACUUGAUGGGAAAGAUAAGGUUCUAAGGAACAAGACGGUGAGUUUGGUGAAGGUGUUGUGGAGGAACCAUUCCGUAGAGGAAGCUACUUGGGAGACAGAAGAUCGAAUGAGAGAGAUGUACCCAAGGUUAUUCUACGAGUAUUAAAUGGUUUAUUUGGUUAUGGGAAUUUCGGGGACGAAAUUCUAUAAGGAGGGAAGAUUGUCACAGCCCGUCCCGGAGAUACAUUUGACGGGAAUGUGAAAUGACAGAUUUACCCUUAGCGGGUAUUAAGGUACGUGGGUGUGACGUUAUUUGGAUUAAUUUAAUAAGUUGGAUUAAAUUUAUUAGUUUGUAAAUAUUGUGAUUAGGGAUUAAAUGGAUGGUGAGGAUUGGUUUUGGUUGGGCCACGCAGGACCUUUCUCCUUCUCUCCUCUCCCGUGCCUCUCUGUCCCUCUCUCUCCUCCAUCUCGACUCACUCUCUCUCUCACCCUCAAACGUAUGGACCACACUCACAAACCUUCCAAACGUCACGGAUCGAAGCUAUUAAGGUAUGGUUCUUCAUCCUUUUGACGUUCUGAGUUGAAUGGUACUAGUUUUAGGAAGUGAAACCCUCGAAAUCACGUGAAACCCGAAUCUCCAUUUUUGGUCACUGUUCAUGCACUCAUAAUAUGUUGUGUUCCAGGGAAUUCUAAGCUUAUAGUGAGCUUAGUGAGGUCCCAAGGAAGCUCGGAGUGCUUCGUUGGAAGGAUUUGGACAUCGGGAUCACGAGGGUUAAGUUUAGCCGGUUUUGCUUGGAUUUUUCCGGUGAGAUUUAGUUGUUUUUGAAGCUUAAAAGUAGUAUAUUGUGAUUCUUCAUGUUGAGGGCUUCAAAUUGAUAUUAUACGAAGAAAAUGGUUAAGAAACGAAGGAGAACGAAGCAUUUGAAAAUUUCCCAAUUUUCCGGCCACCGGAAAAACCAGUCCGGUGAGCUCACGAGGAAGAAGGUGCGCGUGUGCGCGCAUGGACCCGUGCUUUCCCUGGCGCGUGGGGGCGCGUGCCACAUCAAAAAAUUAUUUUAACAAUUUUCGACGUCCGUGACGUCGAGUAGGUCAAUGUGGUAUAUUCAUAUACCCAAUUUGAGCACCGUAUGAGAAGUUAUUAAGAAUUGUUGGUUAGGUGCUUUAAAUAACGUUUUAUAGUUUUCGCAUUUAGGUGAAAAUGUGAAUUGACGAUCCAACCGUUGGAUCGUCACCAAACUUUGAUGCGUUCUAUACGUAAUAUUUGAGGAUUAUAGGAAUUUACGGAUUGGGAAUCCGAUUUGCGGAUCUUUCAGAAUUGGAGUUGUAAGUCCAUAAUAUAGAAUGUUAACCGUCACUUAGUUUUGUUAAUUGACGGAGAUCCGACCGUUGGAUGGUAAUGAAAUUUUAGGAUGUUGUCCUAGAGAUAUAUUGUGGACCUCUGGAAGUUAUGGAUUUAAAAUCUGAGUGGCAGAUCUUCCGGAUCGAACUUCGUAGUGACGUAUUUUAUAUAAGUUAUAUAUUCUAUCGAUAUGGAUUCUAAGGUUGGAUUUGAUUAUUGUUUUAGGCGCCGAUCGUCAUGACGCCUUGGCGUAUUGUGCUAGGGAGUUAUAGGGCGAACUCCAGGUGAGUGGGCAGUAUUUUCUGUUUAUACUUAUAUACUAUUGAAAUUCCCAGAAAUUGAGUUUUAAUGAAAGUAUGUUUCUAAAAUGCCAUGCAUGCAUGAUAUGAAUGAUAUGAGUUAUAUGAAUUGAUAAUUGAUGCAUAUAUUGUUGGAAAUGUGCCCUAAAGCCAAUCAUGUGAUGAUACUUUACGGACAUUUCACAUGUUAAACUAAUCUAGUUUAACAUAUAAAGGGCAUAGAUUAUUGUUUGAGCCGUCUCAUAUAAAUGUUAUAUGCUUAAACGAUAAAGUCCAAGGAAUUUGUGAUUGAGAGAAUGUAAUCUAAUGAAGUUAGAUUCUUGAGACCAUUCUUUCGUAGACACAUCCUAAACGUUCCUGAUCAUAGGAUUGCCAAUUGGGCAUUGACAGUCCGUCAAGAUCGGUACGUACUAUGUCUUCUCUCAGGGAGAGUGAUUAGUCUCGAAUCAUUGGUGUGUGUGACAUCAAGACAAGUACGGUAGGUGCUCAAUAGAGAAUGAGUUCACUGAACGCGAUCAACGAAGAGUUGUCAUAUUCCAUGUCACAUAAGAACUCAUGGUUGGGAUAAUGCAAAGUAGUCCUUUGACCUGAGGCAUCAUAGUUGUCUUGUGGUUAAGACCUUGAUCUUUGAUUAUGUCAAAGUCAUCCCACCAGGAGGGUGUCCACGGCAUCGUUGGGGUCAAGCCGCUUAGCUAUGGAGACAAGUGAAUGCGCAACAAGGGAUCUCUAACCUUCAAACCGUUUGAGGGAGAAUACUCUCUGAUAUGAUUUGAAUCUUUGGCCAAAGUAUGAAUGAGAUUAGGGAAUGCGUUCCGAAUCACAUUCAAAGUAAUCAUAUAAGCACAAGACACACAUUGGAUAGUAGACAUGAGAAAAUAAACUAUCAAACCAAACAAUGUGGUCAAGAGUAUUAGAUUAGAGAAGGACCGUAUUGCAUUUGUAAUCUCGAACUGAAUAGGUUCUCUAACCUCUUCUGAUUAGCUUGGGUAACCAUGAUAUGCUGCUAGGUGUCACUCAUGGUUUGUGGAAGCCCUAAACGUGUAUAAUCACUAAAGGGAGAAUUGAAAAUAGUUUCAAUUCACAAUCGAUGUAAAAUGGUUUUAAUCGCCCACUACCUCGCUAAAAGGAACCUAAUGGAUCGCACACCGUGAAAGGUGGAGAUUGGAGAUUAAACGGAAAUGAGUAAGAAUGAUUAAAUGGUUUAAUCAUUUAUUUAUGGCAAGGAUUAAUUAAUAUGUUAAUUAAUCAAACGAAUAAGUUCGUUAAAGACUUCGGGAUAGUUUUGGACCUUAAGGCCCAAUGGGCUUCGAACGUCAAGCCCAUUAACUUAAGUUGUAUGACAAUUUAAUGAAUGAAGAUUCAUUAAAGCCCAAAAGCCCAAAUCCCAUAAGGUGGCCGGCCAUAUUAGAUGAAUUAGGGUUGUUUGGUUAUUUAGGUCACUUAAAGAAGUGACUAUAUAAAUGACUUUAUAACUAAAUAUUCAUUAAGUGAAAAAUGGGUUUAUUUUUGGGGAAAAUAGGUGAGAAUUGUCUCUCCAUUUUCUCUCUAAAGAGGCCAACACCUUGGAGGGUACAUCUAGCAAUCCUACUACUCCAAGGUCACUCAUUUCUUCUACAAUCGAACCUUGGUGUCGAGAAUUAGAGGUUCUCAAUUUUGGGAACUUGGAGAACCUAUUCUUCCAUCCAAAUCCAUGGAUCUAAGAAGCAAGGAAUGAAGGCCCUUAUCUCUUUGGGUGAUUAGCCUUUGCUUAUGCAAAGAGGAAUCUACAAAGGUAUUAAUUUCAACUCACUUAUGUUUUGAGUUGAUUAUUGGUUCACCAAUCUACUAGGCUUUGAAUUUCAUGGGUAAAUGUUUUGUUUUUGAGUGCAUGUAAGCAUGAUUCCGCCUUUAAUUGUUAAUUGCAUGCUAUAUGAUGUUGCUCAAAUGAACAUGUUUUACAAAAUAAAUCCUUCAUAUAUAUAUAUGUGAAUUGACGCGGUGGACGCACAGGUGAGUUUUAUUAUUAUUCAGAUGAAUUAUUUUAUAUGAAUUGCAUUGAAAGCUCAUAACCUGCCCCUAGGUGUUAGUGCUUAUAUUAUUAUUCACCACACCGCACGCUCGCCUUGGAUCCAAGUUGGUGGAUGUCGUACAGACCAUGUGAGGGUUCCGACAUGCUAGUCGUACAUAUCACUAGUUGUGAUUCCGACUAGUGGGUGACCUUAGUUAUGCGCGCUGAUGAUUGAUGAGAGAAGCACUAGAGCGUAUUUAUACACCUGUCAUCGUACAGACUACUAUAUGUAGUUCCGAGUGACGUGCAGAGUUGGACCGUACAGGUCACCGAGGUGACUCCGGUUGGAUUGGAUGUUGAGCUUUAGAAUCAGCCGUACAGGACCACUUCAGGGUCUCCGGUUGAUUUAUUUUCACCUGAUUUAUAUUAAUGCAUCUAUAUUAUGUUUUUGGACACUUGGCAUGGCAUAUUUUUCAGAAAAGUGUUAAAGGAUAGUGAUUUGAGAUAUUUGCUUAUAUAUAUGUUUAUAUAUAUGCUAUUUUCUGGGAAAGUAUACAGGUUUUACAGCGAGGGGUUAGAAAUGUUUUAAAUGAAAGAUUUUCGAAAAGCUUUGUUUUGCUGACCCACUCAAUUUUGUUUUGCGCCCUUCCAUUUUCAAGUUAGCAGAGCUUUGGUGGCCACGAGGAACCCAACGGAGUUCUGACAGAAUUCACAAAAGUAGGACUCACCCUCGAGGGUUUCCAUUUUAGUAAUUGUAUUUUAAAAGCUUCCAAACUGUGUAAAUGGUUACGUCACUCUCACGUGACGGCCAACACGCCCUCCUUCAGGAUGGGGUGUGUCAUACAAACCAUCACUUUCACCCUUUUCCUCACCCACCAAAAUCAACUUGCAAAAACUUUUUAGAAAAUUUUUCAUAACUUCUUCCAUUGGCCGGCCACCCCAAGUGGGGUUACUUUUGGGGCCUUUUGUGCAAUUACAUAAAGUUUGAGAUACUUUUGUGUGUUUGCAUUUUGGCCCAAAAGUUUACGUUUUACGUUAAGGCCCAAAAACUCUAAAGGACAAAUUGUUUUGAUCCUUUAAUGAUGCUUUUACAUUAUUAAAAUUUUGGGAUCUAGUUGUAAUUACAUGAAGUUGUGGACUAUUGUGUUUUUACAAAGUGACCCCAAAAGUUUUUGUAUUUGCAUUAUGGCCAAAUUGUUGUGGUCAUAGUUUCCUUUUGGCCCAAAUAAAAUGAGAACAAAAUGGUUUUGUCUCUUUAAUGAGAAUUGGAUUUUCAUUUCAUUAAGUUCCAUUUAAAUCAAUUCUAUGGAUCCAAAAACCAAUUGUUUAAAGUUGUUUUCUUAGUUAAUGUGAUUGAUUAAGAAAAGGGUGAUUAUGAACCAAUGGCCACGAUAAUUGAGCUAUGUGAUUGGCCGAUUUACAUUAUGAAUGUUUGGGUUUUAGUAGUGUAGAUUUGAAUGUAAUUUGAUUAAUUCAAUUUGUUGUAAAUGGGCAUAAGUCCAUCAUUUGAUUUGUGUUGUAAAAGGGCAUAAGCCCUUCUUAUUAUUUCAUGUAUUCCUUUUGUUUAUAUGUAUGCAAAAUGGAAUAGUUGGGUCCAACGCCCAAUAGGAAAUAACGAUUUAAUUGGAUUAAACGCGUAACUAAAAUCAACAACUAUCUACCUUAAACCCAAGGUCCAACACAAGGCUCGUGUUGGAUCAAAUUAAUCGGUUCAUAAUCAUCCUAAAACCAAAUAUGACUAUAUAGUCCAUAUGAGGAUGCAAUGCAUUCGUUAGUAGUUCCAUAUAGUCUCACUUAUUUCUUCGAAAUAGUGGGAGUAUUAUAAACUACUAAUUCAUAUUAAACUUGGACCAAUGGUUGUGAUAGGCCCAAGUUCUUUUAAUAUGAUUAAAAUGAUUUUGAUGUAGCCCAAAACUACUCCCUUGACAAACGAAUAUUAAGUUGAUAAGCGAGAGAUGUUUUGAACAUCUCUUCGUAGGCCUUCCACCGUGGUGGGCUCCAAUCGUUUGUGACUCAUGCACCGGCUUCACCCUAUCAUGGGGGAGUUCAAAGUAUGUGCUUACAUCCAGGAGGAGUCCAUAAACAUAUGAUGAGGUGAGUGUAGGCAACGAGGAUAGCCGACAUCGUAUCAUCGUGAGGCUAUUCUUGAACCCCUUCACGAACUAAGCAUGGUGGGAAUAACUUAAUCUAAGUGCAAUGGAGCCGACAUCGUAUCAUCGUGAGGCAACAUUCUCUAGAGGCCAAACGGAUGGGUAAUUACAAAAGGUUGUAAAUGAAUAAUGCGUUAUUCUCUCAUCAUUAUUUUUGCUAACCAACAUCAUAUCAUUGUGAGGUGGGCUUGGUAAUGGUGAGUCUCCCAUACCCCGCUAAGAGUUCAAUAUAACUCUCGAAUUCUAUUGAGGGAUGUGGAAUUUGCCAAAAAUAGUGGGUGGUACUAUUUGAUUCAAAGACCCAAUCAAAUAGUUUUAAACAAACAAUCUAAUACGAUUUCUGUUAUGUUAUGUAGUUAACGACAUGCCUAAAAUUAUACCCACCAUUAUACUUGACAAAAGGAGCCUUAAGGGCCAACGUUUCCUUGCUUGGUAUCGCCACAUUGAGAAUGUCUCAAAGGUGAAAGACAUAUUGUUUAUGCUUAAGCAAUCCCCUCCUCAUGUACCUCCUACGAAACUAGCUUCAAAGGAGGAGUGUCAAAAUUAUGUUAGACACUAUGAGGAUGACUUACAAGCCAAAUGCUUAAUCCUCACUUCACUUAGUGAGGAGCUUAUGAAGCUACAUAAGCACAUGGACACUUCUUGUGCCAUGGUUGAAAGUUUGCAUAAGAUGCAUGACAUUGAGACUAGUAAUGUACGAUUCUCAAAUGUUUGUAGUCUAAUGAAUGCCAAAAUGGCAAAGGGGACAUCGGUCCAUGAACAUGGACAAAAGAUGGAAAAGAUAUUUAAAGAUCUUAAAAGUUUGGGAACUUCCAUCGAUGGGAAAAUGGCCCAAGACUUUUUCCUUGCAUCUCUCUCGGAUGAUUUCACUAAGUUUAUUGUAAACUAUAAAGUGAAUAGAUUCGAUCAUGCUUUAAACGAGAUGAUUGACAUGUGCUGUAAAUUUGAAAAAGGUUUCAAAAUGGACAGUGGGAGUGAGAAUGCAAACACAAGGAAAAGGUUGCAUAAGAAGAAGGCAAAGAAAUCCAAAGGAACAUGCUUUCAUUGUGGAAAGGAUGAACGUUGGAAGAAGAAAUACAGGGUGCGCAUUGCGAGCCUUAUGACAUGAACUUUUGAAGAGACCAUUUAUGUCAUAGAGAGUGCUUUUACAGUAAGCUCCAAUUCCUGGAUAUUUGAUUCAGGCGCUAGUCAACAUAUCUGUAAUACGAUGCAGGGACUAGCGGGGAGCAGGUCACUGCGCAAUGGGGAGAUGGUUGUGCGAGUUGGGAACGGCACUAAAAUCUGCAAAAGCAAUAGGCACGUACAUGCUUAACCUACCCUCUGGGGAAGUCCUGAAACUUAAAAAUUGUUUAUAUUUGAACGGUCGUAUUAUCUCUCAUGGUAAUAUGAUAGAGGGACUCAGUAUUGUUUGACAAAAUGAGUUGCACUUUAUACUUGAACGGUCGUAUUAUCUCUCAUGGUAAUAUGAUAGAGGGACUUUUUCACCUAGAGACGAAUAGUGGGAUGCACUGUAUUGCAAGCGGGAAUACCUCAAAACCCAAAAGGGCUAGAGAAGAAGUUAACCAAGAAAAGAUAUGGCAUCUUAAACUUGGACAUGUGAACCUUGAUAAGAUUCACAAGAUGUCGAAAGACGGAUAUAUCCGCCCAUUAGGUAAUGACCAGAUGGGUACUUGUGAAUGUUGCUUGAAAGGGAAGAUGACCAAAUCUCCAUUUACUGGAAAAGGAGAGCGUGCCACUGAAAUUCUAGGGUUAAUCCACACUGACGUAUGUGGACCUAUGUCUACUACGUCGAGAGGAGGCUUCUCCUACUAUAUCACAUUCACCGACGAUCACUCUCGGUUUGGCUAUGUGUAUCUUAUGAAGUACAAGUCAGAAUCCUUUGAAAGGUUCAAGGAAUUCAAGAAUGAAGUUGAGAAGCAAACUGGGAAACAGAUAAAGAUCCUAAGAUCGGAUCGAGGGGGUGAAUAUCUGAGUAAUGAGUUCCUAGAUUAUCUCAAAGAGUGUGGAAUAAUAUCACAGUGGACUAACCGGGAACUCCACAACUUAAUGGAGUUUCUGAAAGGAGAAAUCGAACCUUGGUGAACAUGGUUCGUUCUAUGAUGAGUUCCGCUGAUCUACCCGUAACAUUCUGGGGAUACGCUCUAUAUACAGCAGCUUACUUGCUUAAUAGAGUACCUUCCAAAUCAGUUUCACAAACGCCCUAUGAGAUAUGGCAUGGAAGAAAGCCAAGUCUUAAUCAUGUUAAGAUUUGGGGUUGUGAAGCAUAUGUCAAGAAGCUUGAAGCUACUAAGCUUGAAGCGAGAUCAGUAAGAUGCUAUUUUGUGGGAUAUCCUAGAGAAACUAUGGGAUAUGAGUUCUACCAUCCUGACGACCAGAAAGUCUUUGUCGCCAGAACUGCUAAGUUUCUAGAGGACGAAUUCGUUCUCAAAAGAACUAUAAGCAAAGAGAUGGAAAUUAAUGAGAUUAAUAAUGAACCACAAACAAGCACUCGACAUAUUGACAACCCUGUUCCUGAACCCCUAGCUCCACGUAGAUCUGAACGGGUUAGUAAGCCACCUAAGAGGUAUGGCUUAGACAAAGACUUUGCUGAAUUGUACCUUCUAGGUGACAAUGAAACAAAGGAGGACCCUAGGGACUACACUGAAGCAAUGUCCGACAUUGAUUCAAAGAGAUGGCAAGAGGCCAUGAAAUCCGAGAUGGAUUCCAUGUAUCAAAAUCAGGUCUGGACUCUUGUAGACCCUCCAGAAGGUAUUGUACAUGUUGGAAACAAAUGGGUCUUCAAGAGUAAGAUAGGCGUUGAUGGGAACGUGGAGACUUAUAAGGCUAGACUCGUAGCCAAGGGUUACAGGCAAUGAGAAGGGAUUGAUUAUGAAGAAACCUUCUCUCCUGUAGCCAUGAUUAAGUCCAUUCGGAUUUUGCUUGCUAUAGCUGCAUACCAUGAUUAUGAAAUCUGGCAAAUGGAUGUGAAGACGGCCUUUCUGAACGGCUACCUAGAGGAAGAGCUCUAUAUGACUCAACCCGAAGGUUUCGUGUCCAAGUCUGAAAAGACUAAGGUAUGCAAGCUUCAAAGGUCCAUUUAUGGACUUAAGCAAGCCUCCAGGAGCUGGAACAUUCGUUUCGACACUGAAAUCAAAACGUUUGGUUUUACUCAAAACGAAGACAACAAUUGUGUUUAUCAAAGGUCGUUGGGGAAGCAGUAGUAUUCCUAGUGUUAUAUGUAGAUGACAUAUUACUAUUCGGGAAUGACACUGCAAUACUUUCUUCUGUAAAAGUGUGGUUGUCCAAAACCUUCCACAUGAAAGAUUUAGGAGAUGCAUCUUAUGUACUUAGGAUAAAGCUCUAUCGUGAUAGAUCCAGAAGAUUAAUUGGAUUAUCCCAAUCUAUGUACAUUGAUAAGGUGCUAAGUAGGUUCGAAAUGGAACAAUCUAAGAAAGGUUUUCUUCAUGUGAGACAUGGAAUUCACCUUUCUAAGACCAUGGAACCUAAGACUCCUGAAGAGAUACGGCAAAUGAGUUAUAUUCCUUAUGCUUCCGCCAUAGGAAGUCUCAUGUAUGCCAUGAUAUGCACAAGGCCUGAUAUCGCAUAUGCUGUGAGCAUUACUAGUCGAUAUCAAUCUAACCCAGGAUCAGAACACUGGGCAGCUGUCAAGACAGUCCUUAAGUACUUAAGAAGAACUAAAGACAUGUUCCUCGUAUAUGGAGGAGCAGCAGAGUUGCGAGUGGAAGGCUAUACAGACGCAGAUUUCCAAUCUGACGUCGAUGAUAGAAGUUCCAACUCCGGAUAUGUAUUCACUCUGAAUGGUGGGGCUGUCAGUUGGAAGAGCAAGAAACAAAGUGUAAUUGCUGAUUCCACAACAGAGGCUGAAUAUGUCGCUGCAGCUGAAGCCGGCAAAGAAGCGUUCUGGAUGAAGAAGUUCAUCACUGAACUUGGGGUGGUUCCAACCAUUACAUCACCAGUAACUUUGUACUGUGAUAAUAGUGGGGCGAUAGCUCAAGCCAAGGAACCCAGGGCACAUCAAAAGAACAAGCAUUUUGACAGAUGCUUUAAUAUCAUUAGAAGAUAUGCUGCCGAGGGGAAAGUCAAUAUCCUCAAAGUUGCUUCAGCCGAUAACGUAGCAGAUCCACUGACAAAGCCAAUGUCUCAAAUCCAGCUUGACCGUCAUAUGGAAAAGAUGGGUAUUAGAUACAUGGGAAGAUGGCUUUGAGUUCAAGUGGGAGAUUGUUGGAAGUAUGCCCACAAAGCCACUCAUUUGAUAUAAUAGCUUUUUGGAAUACUUAAUGUAUUAAACUUUUAUAUGUUUAAUGGAGGGCAAAGCUUAUUGUUAAUCACUAUUUAUUGUAUCAUGUGUUUAAGCAAUAAGGGAAUCCAAGGGAUGUAUUUGUUCUAAGAGACAAGUGAUCUAAGUGAGUUAGAUUAUCGAGACCAUUCUCUUAUGUUCAUUCCUAAAACGUUCCUAGCCAUAGGAUUGCCAAUUGGGCAUUGACAAUCCGCUAAGGUUAGUAUGUGUUAUGUUGACUCAAGCGUGAGUAUGACUAGUCUCAAGUCAUUUGGUGUUGGACACUAAGACAAACACAUAGGUGCUCGAAAGAGUAAUCGAGUACACUGAACUACGAUCAAAAGAGAGUUCGAACAUACAUGUCGUGUAUGAACUCUAAAGUUGCAAUAUGCAAAGUAGUCCUUUGACCUGAGGCAUCAUAGAUGUCUAAUGGUUAGGUUCUUGAUCUUUAAUCAUGUCAACGGCAUUCCCUCGGAAUGUCCACGGCAUUGUUGGGGUCAAGUUAUCUAGUCAUGUAGGCAUAUGAAUGCACAACAAGGGAUCUCUAACCUUCCAUGGUGGAAGGAGAAUACUCUAAGAUAUGAUUCUAAAGUCUUUGGCCAAAGCAAAUGAAUAUGACUUAGGAAGUUUGUUCCAAAUCAUAUUCAAGGGAAUCAUAUAGGAAAGUAUCACAUUGGAUAGUAGACAUGAAACAAACUAUCACUUAAACAAUGUGAUUAAGAGUAUUGUAUUAGAGAAGGACCGUAUUGCAUUGUAAUUGUAACUGGAUAGGUUCUCCAACCAAUUCUACUUAGCUUGGGUAACCAUGAUAUGCUGUUAGGCGUCACUCAUGGUUUGUGGAAGCCCUAAUGGUUAGCAAACACUAAUCAAUAAAGGGAGAAUUGAAAUGUGGUUUCAAUUCACAAUCGAUCGUUAAGAGUAACAAUCGCCCACUGCCUCGUUAAUUGGAACCUAAUGGAUCGUACACCGAGUAAGGAUGUAUGUGAAGAAAUCAAAUGAAAUGGAUAAGCAAUUAAAUGGUUUAAUUGAAGAAUGGUCAAGAUUAAUUAAUUAGUUAAUUAAUUUUACGAAAGGUUCGUGUUGGGCUUAUAUGUUGGUUUUGGGUUUCAGGGCCCAAAAGCGUUUUGGUCCAAAAGGCCCAUUAUGUUUAAGUUGUAUGACAACUAAAACAAAAUAGCCCAUUAUGAUUAAUUACAAGUUUGCCACUCACUUGUAAUGAAGUAUAAAUUCAACUUUAUAGCUUUAUUUUAAAAAAAAAGGGUUUUCUUGAUGAAAUUGGGUGAAACAUUUUCUCUCUUUUUCUUCCAAGAGGCCGGCCACUAAGGGGAGGGACAUCUAGCAAUCUCUUCUUCCCUAAGUCAUCCAUAUCAUCUUCACAAGAUACAUCGUUGGUGAAGACUUAGAGACAUCAAACUUUUGGUGUUUUGGAGAACAUAUCCUCAUUUCCUCAAAUCUUCAAAGGAGCACUAAAGGGAGGAAAACACAAGGAGGAUUCAAGGAGCUUGGAGGUGACUUGAAGGCCCUCCACUUGGGUGAAUCCCUUGUGUAAACAAGGAUGAGCUUCAAGGGUAAAGAAACUCUAAAUCUUUACUUAUCUUUAAUGUUGUUAAAGAGUUUAUUGGUUCACCAUAUACUAGGCUUUGAAAGUCAUGGGUUUUAUGAAUUGUUUUUGAAUGCAUGUCUACUUUAAAGUGUUAAUAGCUUGCAUAUGUAUUCAAAUGUUCAUACUUGUUCUUAGCUAGGACAAAAUUUUUCCUUCAGGUCGGGCCUCAAAGAGGACAAUAUCGUGCUACGGUGGAGUCGAGCCCGGGAUGUGGUGGAGCCCGGGUCAGGAUGUGACAAUUUGGUAUCAUCUCCAAUCCCUAGCUGACAGUGUGCUGACGAGGAUGUCAGGCCCCUAAGGGGGGUGGACUGUAACAUCCCACAUCGCCCAGGGGAGUAAAUCCUGUAAGUCUUAUAUGUAUAUUCCCAUCUCUACCUUGCAUGAGGCUUUUUGGGAGCUCACCGGCUUCAGGUUCCAUCGGAACUUCGAAGUUCAGCGAGUUCACGCGAGAGCAAUCCCAUGAUGGGUGACCAACUAGGAAGUUCUCGUGUGAGUUCCCAAAAACAAAACCUUGAGGGCGUGGCCGGGGCUCAAAGCGGACAAUAUCGUGCUACAGCGGAGUCGAGCCCAGGAUGUGGUAGAGCCCGGGUUGGGAUGUGACAUUACUGGUCAUGGUUCCCUUGCUAAAAAACUAGGGAAAAUACCCCUCGUGGCUUAUAUCCCCUAGUCGUAAAGUAGAGAUUUCGUCGCGAGGCAGUGAAUAGUGGCAGCAACCACUGUGUAGCGCAAGGUUUUAUGCCUAGGUUCCAGUUUCGUGAAUCCACCCUUGUUUCUGAUUUCACAGCUAAGAGACGAGGUGAUGUGUGGGGUUUGUGGCAGUGACACUCGACGAAAUGGUGAGUUGGUGGUGGCACAGUGUAACUGUGCACAGUUGGCAAAUAGACAUAGAGAGAUCGAGUUUUAGGGGGAUGGAGAGUUAAGAGAGAUAGAGCGAAAAUGAGAGAGUGUCCAAGAGUGUUGGGAAAAAGAAGAUGGCAGAAGACACGAGGGAGAUUUCAAAGUGGGGAGUCCCAUGUGGGUGGGUCCUAAUGGAUAGAAAAAUCUCACAAGAAAAUAUUAAAAUAAGAAAGGGCAAAUUAUCUAGAAUAUUGAAUAUAUGAAAAUGCCCUUAGUAUUCAGUGUUUUGUAAAAUAUUUAUCAUAGCAUUGAAUUCAGUCCCGCUUUUGCCCAUGUGUUCGUAUCAUCAAGUACUUCGAGAAUAUGUAUGUGUGUGUGUCUAUGGGUCAAACAAAAAUACUAAUUAAUUAGGUACGAGACCUAAUUAAUAAUAUACUAAUGUAGACAGGCCUACAUACCUUUAUUUAACGAACCCAACGAAUAAGCCAUCAAUAUUACUAUUUGCAGUCCACAAUACCGACAACUCAUUGUUGUCUCGAUAAACAAGUAAUAAAUUUUUGAGAGUGCAAAAUUACCAUUUUGACAUUCAUUGGGAAACGUGCAUAAAUUGUCCAAUUUACGUCUGUUCACGCUCACAUGUUCACAAGAACAUGUACCACCUGAAAAUAUGUGCAAAGGAACAUAGUGAUAAGGACUCAAAUGUUCACGAAGGAUAUUAAAUUAGGGACGGGAUGUCACAAUCUACCCUCCUUAUAGAAAUUUCAUCCUCGAAAUUUCAAUCAUACUAUAUCUUCCUCGAAGAAUGAGUAUGAAAAUAAGGAGAUCAUGCGUAAAGGUGUAUAACUGGAUAACGAGAAACCAUGUCGAGAAGGCUAAAUGAGCACUAAAAAUUUUUGAAAGUCAACACAAGUCCAUCAGUUCUUAAGUACAAGAUAACUCUAAUGCAAGAACAAGUGUAAGUACCUAAUCUAAUCCUAUGGUGGCAAGUCAAGCCGGUGCGUAACCUUUUCGACUUGAUAGAUAAUCUAAUACAAUCUAAUAGGUGGGAACAUAAUCUAUUUCGUUUACAAAUAUUUGCAGCCUCUCGCUAUAAAGGUAGUGGCAAAGAUACCCAAUCACCAACAUUAAAGAUUCAUUUAGUAGAAGGUUUGUAGGGAAAGUGGGUCUCAGUUAAAACUUCAGUGUUAAAGUGGUUCUCCUGGACAGACCAUCAAUCUCAGGAAAGGUAUGAAGUGUUGUAAGGUAGACACGUACCCAAGGUUGACCAGAAUGCUUUCCAGUAGAUGGAGGUAAAUAUAUAAUCACAGUCAGAGUUGACGCUAACCGAAACACUAGAAAAUCUAAUAAAUUUAAGAAUGAGAAAUUUUACUCAGUGGCGAAAAUGUAGUCCCUUUGGAUGAACGGAAAGUGAACUGGCUUGUUGAUUCAGUUGACAGUCACUAAAACAUCAUCAUAAUCUCCACGUAUACAAGAAAUCUCGUACAAUAAGUCUACAGUGAUAUUUCCCCGUCUCCAUUUAAACAUGAUGUGAUUAUAACCACUCAAAUGAUUUCUUUCUUUCUAAUUUGACCUAUAGACAACUCAAGUAUUUUGUAAACGAUUAAGCAAUCUUCUUUUUCAUCCCAAGUCAAAAGUAGAAAGGUCACUUCUAAGUUUUGGGUGGCAUUUCUGGAAGCUCUUGGUUCGAGAUUGUAUUAUAGUAAGGCGUAUCAUCCAAAGAAAGACGGGCAAUCCAAGAGAACCAUCCAAACAUUAGAAGAUAUGUUGAGAUCUUCAGUAUUACAGUUUGGCGACACUUGGCAUAAGUGUUUAGAUUUGAUAGAGUUUGCCUACAAUGACAGCUACCAUUCUAGCAUCGAUAUGUCACCUUUUGAGGCACUCUAUGGUAAUCCUGUCGUACUCCUCUGUGUUGGUCAAAAGUUGAUGAGAGGGUGUUAGUGGGGCCAGAGAUUGUUGAUGGGACGACUCAGAAUAUUCAGGUAAUUAUAUUUAACCUGGAAGUAGCCCAAGGCCGACAAAAGAGCCUUGUCGAUAAACACGCCACUGAUAGGGUGUAUAAAGUUGGAGAUUGGGUAUUUCUGAAGCUAUUUCCGUGGAAGGGCGUUGUACAGUUUGGUAAGAAAGGUAAGUUAAGUCCUCGCUACAUUGGAAUGUACCAGAUCACCGAGCGAGUCGGUGAAGUCGCCUACAGACUUGAGUUACCUCUGGAACUGUCAACGGUACACGAUGUUUUUCAUGCCUCUAUGCUCCAUCAUUAUGCCUCCGAUCCAUCACACAUGAUACCUCCUCAGCCAUUAGAAAUUAAUCCAGACUUAACAUACGACGAGGAGCUAGUGACGAUUUUAGAUUGGAAGGAUAAAGUUCUGAGGAACAAAACUGUGCGCAUGGUGAAAGUUUUAUGGAGGAAGCCACUUGGAGAUGGAGGAUCAUACGCGAGAUAUGUAUCCACGCUUAUUUUAUCAAUAUUAGUGGUUUGUUAUGUUAGUGUAUAGAAAUUUCAGGGAUGAAAUUUUAUUAAGGGGGGUAGGUUGUGACGACCAGUCUCGAAUAAUUAUAUAUUUUUAUACUCGAAUGUGUGGAAAUAACGAUUAUGCCCUCGAGGCUUAGUGACGUGGAUGUAUGUAUAUAGUUUUAAAUUAUUUUUCCCGCUAAUGUGAUUAGAUUGCGAGUUAGAGCCGAGUUGGGUUCGUAAUGAAAAUGUUACGAAUAAAUGAAUGUGUAAUCGGGCUAAGGAAUUAGACCAAUCACCACACCUCCUACUUUCUUGGGUCCAAUUAGAAUUUUUGGUUUGUUUUGGGGGUCAAUUGUUGGCCCUAAACAUGCAGUCCAAUUAGGGCUUGAGGUAAUUUAAAAUUGCCCAAUCCGGACACACACACACACAUACACGUGCCAACCUCCCUCAUCCUCUCCUUCUUUCUCGAACUCUCCCUCUCAUCCAUAUGAUCAAACCCCCUAACCUUCAAACACCAUCACACACACACAGAUCGAGCUUAAGGACAACACCAUCAUACUUCCCUCGACCUCACGAGUUUAGCCGUACCAUUUGUUUGAGGGGAAGACGUGUAGAACUCGAGAUACCCGAGCUCCGACGAGGGGUUUAAUUUUCUCCAAUGUGAUCGUGAAGGAUUUACCUAAUUUUGAGACUUAAGAGGGUACUUUUCUAGCUUCCCUAGCACUUUGGAACAAUUUUGGAGUAUUUUGGACAUCAGAAUAAGCUUGACCGUGGGUUUAUAGGUUUAGCUAGAAUUUCAAAGGAUUUAUCGACAACUUCUUGUCGGUUUUAGGACCCCAAAUAGGUAUGGUUGCAUUCUACUCUUCAAGAGUUUUAAAUCCAUAUAAAAUUCAUGGAAUUUGGUGGAGUUUUGAAGAAGAUAUUGAAGUUUGAAGUUUUUCCAGUUUCCAACAUAACAGACGGUGGCUGGCGGCGGCUCCGGCGAGGACCACCAGAGAAUACAAGGAAUAUUUCGUCAACUUUGACAGAAUAUACUUACGGCGUCAAGUAAAACCGUUAGUUUUUAGAUGGAAUAUGCUGUUAUUUAACGAAAUAUUCCCUAAUGUCGUUAAGGAUUCCGUCUGCGUGCCAGGCACGUGCCUGUGCAAUGACGGAUCGUGUGGCCAUGCCUUGGUUGGCAUGUGAGGGCGCGUGGGACAUCGGAAAAUUAUUCUAAAAACAUGGGGAUGCUCAUGGUGUUGAGUAGGCCAUGAUCGUAUAUUCAAACACCCCAAUUGAGCAACGUAUGAGAAGUUAUUACACGAUUUUGGUUAUGUGCUUAAAAUUAACGUUGGAUUAGUUGUUUCACAUAUAGGUGAGACGUUUCCAGAGGACAAGCACUGCCAGGCAAGACUCGGGGGUUAUGACCCUGCUACAUACCAGUGAGUGGGCUUUUGGUUUUCUAUAUAUACGUAUAUACGCUUUACAGUUUUCCCAAAAACUGUUUUAAAUGGAUUUACAUUCUUAAAUGCCAUGUCAAUUGCAUUACAUUUUAGUAUGUGCAUUAGUAUAGAUAUGCAUAUUAUUGCAUGACGCUGCAGACGGUCAGGUAAGCUUCAGGUGAGUACAUAUUGAUGAUAAUGAUUGUAGUGUAUUUGGUUAUGUUGAGAUACAUUUAGUACUCAUUAUCUUGCACCCCGGUGUUAGUGCUCUGUCUGAGGCCAGGGCCUAGCCUUCACGUGAUCGUUCACCUCCCGCACCAUACGAUCACCUUCGAUCCGAGGCAGGUGCUAGCCUGUCGUACAGACCACAUUAGGUGGUUCCGACUCGUAGGUGACUUGCAAUACUUCGCAUAGCCUUCACGUGGCCAUAGCACUUGAGCAUACCUAUUUACACCCAACCUGUCGUACAGACAACAUUAGGUGGUUCCGACUCAUGUACAGGAUUUGGUAUAUGAGCUAUAGGUUCAGCCGUAUAGGUCACAUUAGGUGACUCCGGCUGGCAUAUCAUUUUACAUUGAUUUAUUCCACCAGGCUUACUUAUUUCAUGGCUGAGAUACUUGACAUGGCAUAUACUUGGUUUUCAUUACUCUCGAGCAUGAUUUCUAUAUACAUAUCUAUUAAUAUUUUCUGGGAAAUUAUACGGGUUUUAUGGUGAGGGGUUAUUACUUUUGAAAAGUUAAAUGGUUUUUAAAAGCUUUGUUUUUGCCCACUCACGUUUUCUGUUUUGUGCCCCUCUAGGUUCUAGGUGGAAGUUUGUGUUGGUGGCUUACGAGGAUUCUACGACGGUUCUGACAGAAUUCAAACAAUGUAGGAAUUUUCUUUCUCUCAUGUCUUGUAUAAUUAAUACUUAGCCUGCUGGACUGCACUUAGGUUACCUAUGCUCUGAAUAUGUGUAUCUACUCUUUAAAUACCUUCACUCGCACCUAUAUACUUACCUAGUGUAAAUUAGCUAGUUUGGUUUUUUAUUUACCCACAUUUUCAUAUCAUUGUCACUUCCGCACUGCGCACAUGGCUACAUCAUCAUCAUGUGACGGCCAACAUGCCUCGAUUUAUGUCGGGGUAUGUCACAUCGGAUUUUCCAACUGACGAUCCAUAAUUAUAUAUUGUUUUUAAUCGAAUGUCUUUAUCUACAUUUUGCUGAUUUAAUUCUUUGUUUUGUUGUUCCUUUUUAUUAAGAUUUAAGCUAGAAUUUUUAGUUGGGUAUAUGAAUCGAAUUAAGAAAUUUAAGAGUUUGUAUCAUUUUCUCCUUUCUUUCCAUUUUUGCUAUUUUAUAUUGUACUUUUUCUAAACUUUAUAACUUGAUUUGUAGGAAUAUCUGGUGUUAGAUCUCAAUUCUUCAAUUUAAUUUAUUUAAUCUUGAUUCUUAUUGGAAGCUAUUCGGAAUUAUUAAUAUAUUUGUGUUGGUUCUUGCAAAACUUAACUUUGUAAUGCUCUAACUUAUGUAGCUUUUCAAUUUUAUUUAUACCAAGCCUAUGUAGCGCGUAGGCCGAGUAACUAAUGAGCUAACUACGUCCUUCGGUUGAUGCAGGGCGCGCCAACUCGUCGGCUGAGCUCGGCCAAGGAGUAAAAUGUGUUGAUGUUGCGUUGAGCACACGGCUAACUUCUCGAUCUUGCAACUACGGCCGAGGAAGGAACACAUCUCAACCUUUAGGUUCUAGAGGCUGAAGACAAGGUUGCUAGUUUUGUGAAGUUCACAAAUCGUCGGCGUUGGAUUCGGUCACAGUGAUUAUAUUUGUAAGGGUAUAAGCAUGCUGAAUCGACACCAAAGUAUAGGGGCACAAAUACUCAAAACAGAUAUAUGUCUUGAUGGUGAAUGUGGUUCGGCUACCAAAAUGCCGAACUCUAAAGCUCACUUGUGAGUAUCCAAUCAUAAAACAACUCGGUGUUCAAUGUGCCGAGCCCUAGUAAAUUGUAACACCUCACCUCGCCGAAAAGGCUAAUGAGAUGACCUCUGCCAAUAAAGACCCUAAAUCUCCACACCAAGUUCUCAAAAUAGAGAACCUCUAAGUCUCCACACCAAGGUUAGAUUUAAGUGAAAUGAGUGACCUAGAGGAAGUUGGAUUGCUAGCUAAUCUCCUCUAGGGUGGCCGGCCUCUUUAGAGAGAAAUGAGAGCUUUGUGUUCUCAUCCUUUCCCAAAAAGAAACCCUAAAUGAAUUUUGGCUAUAAAGUCAUAUUUAUACCUUAAUUCAUUGGAGUGGCAAACUUGUAAAUAAGUCCAAAACCCACUCCAUCUCUAAAUGGCCGGCCAUAGGGAUUCAUUGGACUAUUUGGGCCUUUGUGAAUCAUUAUUCAUUAAGUUGUCAUACAACUUAAGUCAAUGGACUUGACGUUCGAAGCCCAUUGGGCCUUAAGGUCCAAAACUAUCCCGAGGUCUUUAACGAACUUAUUCGUUUGAUUAAUUAACAUAUUAAUUAAUCCUUGCCAUAAAUAAUUAAACCAUUUAAUUAUUCUUACUCAUCUCCGUUGUUUCUUCAAUCUCUACCUUACACGGUGUACGAUCCAUUAGGUUCCUUUUUAGCGAGGCAGUGGGCGAUUAAAACUCUUUCAAAUCGAUUGUGAAUUGAAACUUACUUUCAAUUCUCCCUUUAGUGUUUAUACACGUUUAGGGCUUCCAGAAACCAAGAGUGACACCUAGCAGCAUAUCAUGGUUACCCAAGCUAAUAAGAAGAGGUGGAGAACCUAUUCAGUUUAGGAUUACAAAUGCAAUACGGUAUUUCUCUAAUACAAUACUCUUGACCACAUUGUUUGGUUUGAUAGUUUAUUCAUGUCUACUAUCCAAUGUGAUUCGUGUGCUUAUAUGAUUACCUUGAAUGUGAUUUGGAACGACUUCCUAAAUCUCAUUCAUACUUUGGCCAAAGAUUCUUAAUCAUAUCAUAGAGUAUUCUCCCUUAAACGAUUUGAAGGUUAGAGAUCCCUUGUUGCACAUUCACUUGCCUCCAUGGCUAAGUGGCUUAACCCCAACGAUGUCGUGGACACCCUCGAAUGGAGUGACUUUGACACAAUCAAAGAUCAAGGACUUAACCACAAGACAACUAUGAUGCCUCAGGUCAAAGGACUACUUUGCAUUAUCCCAACCAUGAGUUCUCAUGUGACAUGAGUAUGAGAACUCCUCGUUGAUCGUGUUCAGUGGACUCAUUCGCUAUUGAGCACCUACAUGCUUGUCUUGAUGUCACACACACCAAUGACUCGAGACUAGUCACUCUCCCUGAGAGAAGACACAGCACGUACUGAUCUUAACGGACUGUCAAUGCCCAAUUAGCAAUCCUAUGAUCAGGAACGUUUAGGAUAUGUAUACGAAAGAGAAUGGUCUCAUGAAUCUAACUUGUUUAGAUCAUAAUUCUCCUAAUUACAUAUUCCUUGGACUUAUCGUUUAAGCAUAUAACAUUUAUAUGAGACGGCUUAAAACAAUAAUCUUUGCCCUUGAUAUUAAACUAGAUUAGUUUAACAUGUGAAAUGUCCGUAAAGUAUCAUCAUAUGAUUGGUUUUAGGGCACAUUUCCAACAAUCUCCCACUUGCACUAAAGCCAAUCAGCUUGGUUAUCAGUGAUGAUACCUCUUCUGUAGUCAUUUCAUAAAAUGGCUGAGUAGUAGGCCUAGGCAAUGGAUAUCAAUAUGUUAUCCAUAGAAGCAACCUUGAGAAUAACGACGUCACCAUUAUACAUGAUUCUCAAUCAUGUGGUUCAGUCUCUCAUAUGAGUUCAGAUCUUGAUGAGACCUUGAUUCCCUGGCUUGAGCUAUCGCCCCAUUAGUGACGUAGUGUCAGUACACUAGAUACACUUUCUGGUUGGAACCGAAUAGAGAGUUCAUAAAUGAACUUUCCCAUCCAAACAACAUUGUUGUAAGCUUCUAUAUGGCAAUUUAUUUUGCAUUCAUAAUGGAACACACUAAAGUCAUUACUUUUAAUGUUUCCAUCCAAAUAUCUUUUUAGUCAUAAUAAAGAGAUAUCUGAUUAUCUUCUUCAUUCAUAAUGAAGAAACAUCCAAUGAUGGAUUAGAUUCAUAAUCUAAUACAUUUAAGCUUCCAUUACGUUACUCUAAUUCUUCCUCAUUCUUUGAGGAAUCUAUCCUUUAGUAUUUCUUAAAUACUUAAGGACUCACUUGACAGUUGCCAUGGUUCUGAUCCUGGGCUUGCACUGAUAUCGUCUUGUACCGUUUCUAGGUACAACUCAUAUCAAUGUUUUUCAUACAAUAUGAAAUACAUAAAUCACCUUUCUGCGUAUGCAUAAAGGAUUCUAUUUACGCAUUAUUUCUUUGGGAGUCAAAAGGGUACGUUCCCUUUGAGAAGGCAACUUGCUAGUCUCACUAGAGUCGUCCUUCUAAUUGAAGUUUAUCAUCAUAUGAGAAACUUCCUAGCAUUUUUUGUCUAUUAUUAGGGAUUGAUAUAAUCAAAUUAUAUCUUGAAAUAUAUCAUUAUAGAUUUCCAUCCCAUGUAUAUUAGACUAUAUCUCCCAUAUACAUUCUAUCGUUAUAGAAUGUUUAAAGUCAUAACUUUAACGAAGAAGUAUUCUUUUCAUUUCCAAAAUUAAUAUAUCAUAUAUAUAUAUUUCAAAAUUUAGGAAUUUGAUUAACUCCCACUAAUCUUUUGUAAACCUAGUAAACAAAAGAUUCAUUCACAUCUUUAUGAGAAAUCAAACGAUUUGAUCUUUCUCUCAUAAGACGCUUUUUAGCUCCCACUAGCUUGCUAAGAUCCAUGAUGGAUGGAUCUCUACAACUUACAUGUCUUGUGAUUCAUAGUUUUAGACAUAUAUAUUAUCAAGACUAUCUUAAUAAUGGUUUCGGAAAACCCAUAUUAAUGUCCAAACAUUGAAUCACCAUUUAGUUGUAGCUAGCAAUCUUCGAAUUAAUUGAAACUAAGACUACGUCAAAGAUGGUUUCUUCAAAGUCAACCAUUCUCUUUGAUUGUAGUCACCUUAAGCUACCAAUUAGCUUAUGAAGGUUUCAUUAUUUCGGGUCAAAUGGUACUUUACCAUUUCCUUGAGUAUAUAUCAUAUAUACACUCAAUGUAGUCAUAAGGAUUUUCAUUCUUAUUUCUUUCGAAUUAAGAGGUGCAACUCUAUGACAUAGUCAUAAAGUUCAAACCAUUCAACUGAGACGGUUUAUAAAUCCUUCUCGACUACCUUGGAGCUUUUGUGGUAUAGGAACUAGGUUGUUAUAUUUGUUGAUUAUUAUUCUCUCUCUCAAAGAACCCAUUCUUUGAGUUCUAUCUCUCGUUCAUUGCUCUAUCUUAGGCAAAUCCAUUGUGUAGGAUUACAAUGAACUACCCAACAAAACAACAUUUGUUAGUUGGUUUAUAGAAGCGAUAUCCAAAAGUUAAUUUAAGGAUAUCCCACAAGAUAAUUCUCAAACAAAUAUUGCUUAUUAGCACACAACCCCAAAUCUUAACAUGAUUAAGAUUUGUCUUUCUUUCCAACUACAUCUUAUGGAGUCAUGAAAAUUUUGGAAGAUCUUCUAAUUGACAAUCAUAUUGUCUUAGAAGUAUAUAUCCUAUAUAUGGGUAAUUGAUAACAUCCAACGAAACUAAAUCUUAUUCAAGUUCGUUCUUCUCCUAAUGGAGAAAUCCAUUAUCUUUUGAUGCUUCUUUCCUUGAUAUCUUUCAAGGAAACUGUUCUAAAGUGUUAUCUUUCCUUGGAUCAAAUCUAAGGAGGUAAAUACUUUAGACGUUCUUACUCAUCAACUUACAUUUCUUGAAUUCUUUGAAACCUUUUGCAAAGUAUUCGGACUUGUGUUUAUUCAAAAUAAACUAUAGUCCAACCGAGAGUGAAUCUUCGGUGAAUGUCAUAACAACAUGAGUAGUAUUAUGUUGUGGACAAGUGCCACUAACAUCUAAGUGAAUUAACCUCAACAACUUUGUGAUUCUUUCUUCUUUCCAAAAGAAUAAAGAUUCGAACAUUUCGCCUCUAUACAAUUUUAAUAAGAAGGUAUUGGAUCCGGAUCUAACGAUCCAAAGCAUCCAUCUAUGACCAACUCGUAUUUUAUGUUUUUAGAGGUAUCACAACUCAGUUGGGAUUAGUCACUAUCUUGCAACCUUUUGGGUUUUAAGCAUCCUUAUAUUCUAAACAGUUAACACUACCAUAUUAUCUCUACUAUAGAGACAAUCAAUUAGAUUACUAUAAUCCAAUCAUUGAUUAAUAAAGAACAAUGUUUUGUCAAACAAAACAUUCAUCCAUCUCUACUAUAGUGACGGAAUUAAGUUCCUUAAAAUUGGAAUGUAAAGACAAUCUUUGGUUUUUCCAAUUUCUUUGGUAGUUCAUAUGAGGAAGUAAGUACUAUCUGCUUUCGCAGAGAUCUAUAUUU
rnacentral:lncRNA from 1 species